UGUGGACAUGGAUAUCACGGCGACUGCAUAGUCCCAUGGUUGUGGUCACGAAAUACUUGUCCCGUGUGUAGGUUUGAGUUGCCAACUGAUGAUCCCGAUUACGAGGAGGAGAGGAAGAAAAGAGUUGUCGUGGCAAGCCUUAGAGCACCUUCCUCGAGUUCUUCCGGUGGUGCAGGUAGCUAUAAUUCUGGCUUCGAUUGAUUUACUGUGGUAUGCUAAAACCUUCUUCACUUUGUUUCCUAUUCUCAUGUUUAGGAGUUUUUCCUGUUUCUGUUCUUCUCUCUCUCUCUCUCUCUCUCACUAUUUAAAUUGGAACUCUGUUCGUGUAUUAGCUUAUUGUGAAUUGGGCAGAUGCCGCAGAUGAAUUGUAUUUUGACUUCUUUUCUGUAAAUAAUGAACUCACUUUUUGGGAAAUUGAUAAUAUCGGCCUGUGGACAUUUGAAAAGCCAAAAGCUGUUUUCGAGACUAAGAAGUGGUUUGGGGUGAACGAGAAUCGGAGUGAAGAUGAAGAAGAGGAGACGCGGAGAAGGCGGCGUGAUGUUCUACGGCUUCGGCUAAGGGACUUUGCUGCUCGAGCUGCGAGCAGGCGCAACAGGAUUCUUGAUUGGGCCGAGAUUUUAAUGGGGCUGGAGGACCACUCAAUCGAGUUGCGAUUACAGGUUCCAGAAUCUGAUACUUUUUUUGGAAACCCGGGUGAUUAUGUAGAUGCUGCAGGAUACGAAGCAUUGCUGCAUAAUUUAGCUGAAAGUGACAGUGGAGGAAGGCCAGGGGCACCACCAGCUUCAAAGGCAACAGUUGAAGGGUUAGAAAACUUGUUGAUUAAGAAGGAAGAGGAGACAUUGGUGUGUGCUAUAUGUAAAGAUUCAGUGAAUGUGGGUGAAAUGGCGAGGAAAUUACCGUGUGGACAUGGAUAUCACGGCGACUGCAUAGUCCCAUGGUUGUGGUCACGAAAUACUUGUCCCGUGUGUAGGUUUGAGAUGCCAACUGAUGAUCCAGAUUACGAGGAGGAGAGGAAGAAAAGAGUUGUCGUGGGAAGCCUUAGAGCACCUUCCUCGAGUUCUUCCGGUGGUGCAGGUAGUUAUAAUUCUGGCUUCGAUUGAUUUGCUGUGGUAUGCUAAAACCUUCUUCACUUUGUUUCCUAUUCUCAUGUUUAGGAGUUUUUCCUGUUUCUGUUCUUCUCUCUCUCUCUCUCUCUCUCACUAUUUAAAUUGGAACUCUGUUCGUGUAUUAGCUUAUUGUGAAUUGGGCAGAUGCCGCAGAUGAAUUGUAAUUUGGCUUCUUUUCUGUAAAUAAUAAACUUACUUUUUGGGAAAUUGAUAAUAUCGGCCUGUGGGCAUUUGAAAAGCCAAAAGCUGUUUUCGAGACUAAGAAGUGGUUUGGAUAAUUUUCUAAGAGUGCAUUGUCACUAGAAGAGCUUUUAGAGGAAGAAGGGCCAGUGUAGCUUUCUCACGAGGAAGCAACAGAAGCUGAAGCCUUGCUAACGGACCCUAUAAGUUCUAUACAACAUAAUUCUCUGCAUAUUAUCCAAUUUUUGCCAUUUUUAUUGUUCUUUUCUUGCGGGUUUCUCUUGCAUUUGUAGGAUUUGAUAUUUUUCACCACUCAGUGGAAGGUAUUAUCAUUUUGUUGGGCACUGCGACACUGAUUGAAUACCAAAAUUGAACAGAUAGGAUAUGCAUAAUUGUUGCAUAAGUUUAGAUGAAUGGUUAUCUUCAGGAAUACAUGAAUGUUAAAUUCUUGAUGAUAUGGUUUAGAUGACAGAGCGAUAGUUUAUUUUAUAACAUUUAUCUUAUGUUAAUUGGGAGAUUAUGCGUUGAGCUACUUGUGUGACUGAAUGAACAACCAAUCUGAGAUGACAAUUUCAGCAGAAAUGGAUUGGAUAUGUUAUUGAUGACACUUGGAAUCAGCAGAUAAAUAGUUCAAAGAUAUUAUUAUGGUGUGUCUUAGUAAUAGAGACAAUUUAGAGGGAAAACAAAGCGAAAGGGCUCAUAAAUUGUCAAGCCCCUUGUAGAACGGGAAAUACAUGGAAAUGACCUAUACAAAGAGGUCAUUUUUCCAAAAUGACAUUUGACCAAUUCAUCUACCUAAAAUAUCCCUCCUUUUGAAUAUUACAUAACAAAUUAUGAUAUAGAAAUCUUCCAUUUUAAUCCCUAAAAUUAAUUAUUACUUAAAUUUUGAUAGAUUUUUAUUUAUUUGGUUUAUUUGAUUUUUGUUCACUCAAAGUAGCACCUCCCUAAUUGGUAUCAGAGUCAUAGAGAUCAUGGAAAUUAAAUUAAGAAAAAUAAAUAAUUAUUGGCAUUUAGAAGAAGAAAGAGGAAGUUAUAUAUUUUUAAAAUCUAUUCAUAAUAAAUUAAAAAUAAUGAUAUUAAUAAUAAUUAAAGAACUACCUAGAGAAAUAAAAUAACAAAUAUUAGAAAAAUUAAUAAUAGAAAUAAUAAAGGAUAUAUAUAUAUAUAUGACAAAAUUUUUAAUAUAUAUGAAGAUGAAGAAAUCAAUUUAUAUUAUAAAGAGAAGUAUGAGUUCAAAUAAUAAUACAUAAUUGAAAUUAAAUAGAUUAUUUAUAAAAAUAAAAAAAUACAAGAAGAAAUCCGAGAUAUAAUGUUAAUACUAGAAGGAAUAAGAGUAUCAAAUAAAAUACAAUUAAUAAAAUUAAAAUGUGAAAGAUUAAGACUUGAGAGUAAAUAUUUUAAUACAAUAAAAGAAGAAUUAGUAAAUACAGAUAACUAUACUAAUAGAAGAUUUGGAAUAAUAAUAAUAAAUAAAAAAGAUGAUAAAAAAUGCAAAUUAACUUAUAUGUUAGAAAGAUGAUCUUAAUAUGCUAAUAAGUGAAUAUAUAAAAGAAUUAAAGUCAUUAAUAAAAAUAUUAAUAAAUGAUAUACAAGAUUUAAGAAAUGAAGUAAGAGAAACAAGAAAUGAUAUAAAUAUAUUAAAAAUUGAAAUUAGAUAAAUAAAAGAAAAUAAUAAAAAUAAAGAAAAGAAAAUAGAUAAAAAAUUAAUAGAAAAAGAAAUGACUUGAAUAUGAAAUAAAUAUAUUGAAAAAGAGAGUGUAGUAAUAGAAACAGGAAGUAUGGAUGAUGAAUUUAGGAAAAAUAUAUUACCAAAAAUAUUAGAAAAAGAAGAAUCUAGAGAAAAAAUAGUAGGAAAAUUAAAAGUAGAAGAUAAAGAUGAAUGAGGAAUGAGAUUUACUAAUAGAAAAUUUUGAUCAAUUAAGUUUAACUGAUAUAAAUGAAUACCAAGUUUUAAUUAAUACUAGAAGAGGACCUAAUCCAAUAGAAACCACUAAACAAGAAUUACAAGAUUCAAACGAAAGCUAUGCACCCAUAUAUAAUAAACAAUGCUUACAAUUUUAUGAUAAAGUAAGAGAUAGAUAAUCACCUAAAGGAAGUAAAUAUAAAGAUAGUUUGAAUUAAAUGAUAAUUAUGAUAAACCAAUUAAUCAUGGAAGAACAAAAUUAGAUUUAAAUUGCAAAAUAGAUACUAGAAAAGCUUUAUUAAUUUGGGCAGAGUCAAUGAUAUUAUUCUUUUUAUAUAAUAAAAAUGACACAUGGAAAAAUAUUGAAAGAAGAAUAUAUUUCUUAACAUCAUCCUUUGAAGGAUUUGUUAGAAAUUGGUGGGAAAGAAUAGGGGUGGCAAAUAGGUCGAGCGGCUCGUCGGCUCGCCCGCUCGGCUCGCAAAAACAGAGCUAGUGAGUGGCUCGGCCUCGUAAAAACACAACCUCGAGGGUUCGGCUCGCAAAAUAAACGAGCCGCUCGUUUAAAAAGUGACCGAAACAAUCACUUUUUCAGUGACCGUUUCGGUCCCUGAAAUUUAUUUAUUUAUUUAUUUUUAAUUUGUGACAGUUAACGGUCGGUCCUUUAAUUUUUAAAAUUUUUUUUCUUUCCUCUUCUUCUUCUUCUAUAAAUAGUGGCAUUUAGCCAUAAAAUUUUCUACAAUUCACUCUCAACUCUCAAUUAUCUUUCUCUCAACUCUCAAUUAUAGUGUUAAUAGUUGUGCAAUUUUUAUAUACAAUUUAUACAAUAUUCAAUUUUUAUUUCUCAGUUUUCACUAUAUUUAUUGAAAUUUCAUCCAAUUUUCAUUUCUCACUACAUUUAUACAAUUAUUCUUUUACUAGUUAUUACUUAUUACAAUUAAACAAAUGGAUUCACGCACAUUUGUCGAAAACUUGUUCGGUGUGGGAGGAAACGAAUCAUCUAUGACACUACAAAGUCAAUUUUGGAAUCAAUUUGAAGGUUUAAAUGACGUAUCUCUACCUGAAGAUAUUCCAGAUUUGGAUCUUCAUCAUUAUGUAAGCGACAAUCCAAAUAAUCCAAUUAAUUUGGAUGAUGUUGACGUUCCUGAAACGAAACAUGAUCAGGAAGAAGAUGUUGAAUUAAACAUUUCUGAUGCGAGGGGAAAGCGAAAGGGGAAAAAACAAGCAAAAUGUUGGGAUCACUUUAAGUUGAUUUCAACGGAAAAAAUUGUCAAUGGAGUCCCAGAAUCCAAAGCAAUAGGUAAAUAUUGCCAACAAAGAUUGGCACGGCAAAGAGGAAUUGGUACCACCCAUCUCAACCGUCAUUACAAAGUAUGUGCGGCCAAGCACGAACUUAUUCCAGGCUGUCAAACACAAUUGCAAUUUGACAGUCCAGACACCGGUAGUUCUGCUGCAUCCCUAUCCACAUGGGUGUAUUCGGAGGAGAGAACUCGAACUGGAAUGGUGAAGCUUGUUACUGGUGCUGAGUUGCAUUUGACAUUAAUUGACAACCAACAUUACGUUUCGUAUGUGAAAGAAUAUCUACAGCCAAGGUACGUUGGGGUAAGUUGAAACACUCUUCGUUCCGAUACAAUAUAAUAUUUUACUGAAACAAAACAACAAUUAUGGAUUUGCAAAAAUAUGGGGGUGUCAUAUCUUUAACUUCGAAUAAAUAGGAGGGAUUAAUAAAAGAGCAUAUAUAGCUGCAACUGCACAUUAUAUAGACCCACUUUGGUGCAUGCAUAAAAAAAUUAUUACUUUUAGAAUUAUUGAGUUUUCUCACAACGCUAAUAAUAUAUUUAAUGCUAUUAUUAGUAUUGUUAGAGAAUAUCAUUGCGAAGGUAAAAUUCGUUCAUUUACUUUCGAUAAUACUAGUGUUAAUAAAGUAGUUGCCGAUAAAUUACAUAGGUACUGCAACCUGAUUUUAGUAGGUAUUUGUUUUAUAUUUGUUGUAUAUGUUAUAUUUUGAAUUUAAUUAUCCAAGAUGGUUUAAAAUAUAUAAAGAAUGAAUUUCAAAAUAUUAGGAACGCACUAAGAUAUAUCACAAUCUCUCCAAAUAGGAAACAAACAUUUGAGGAUUAUUGUGCCGAAAUAAGAGUGCAAAAUGCUAAAACAUUUGUUAGCGACGUAGGUCAUAUGUGGAACUCUACUUACUUGUUAUUAAAGUCAUGUGAAUGUUUUGAACAUUUAAUAACUGACUUUUAUAACAAUAGACAUGUUAGAAGUGAUGAUGAGGGUAUGUUGACUGAACGUGAUUGACUAAUAGCUUUGAAAGUUAAAAGAUUUUUGAUAUCUUUUUAUGAAACCACUAAGAUUUUAUCGGGCGUUUACUAUCCCACCAGCUGUAUGGUGCUUGAACGUCUUUAUAUAAUUGCAAGAACAUUUCAUAAAUACAAAAAUGACCUUGAUUUUAGUGAAAUUAUAAUUGCUAUGAAAUUAAAAUUUAGAAAAUAUUGGGAAGAUUUGAUUAUGUUAUUUCCUUUAGCAUGUGUGAUGGACUCCCGAUAUAAUUUAUCGGGAACUAAAUAUAUAAUUGAUCAAAUUUCAAACGUCUUAAUAUUUGAUACACCUAUCACAUAUAGAAAUUUAGAGCAAACAUUAUAUGAAAUGUAUGAAUUAUAUGCGAACCAAAUGGGUACCAAUAUUAGUCGGUACCAUCUGAACCUACUCUUUCCGCUGAAAUUGAAGAAGAAAAUGCGGAAAUAUUUAAUUUAUUUUAAGGUAUUAAUUCGUAUAGAUAUGAUUCAUCUGCAAUGUGUUUAUCUACUGCCACUACCAUGUCGUCCCCAUCUGUAUCUCAUUCUCAUCAAACAUAUACGGACUCAAGCCAUAAUGCAUUGCCUACUGAAUUAAUUAAUUAUUUCAACCAGAAUAUGUCAACAGAUAAAACAAUUAAAAAAAGUUCAGACGAAGUAAUUGAAUUCUGGCGAAGGUAGGAACGACGUUGGCCAGUUAUAUCUGUGAUUGCAAAAGAUCUGCUGACACCUCCAUUUAGCAUUGUUGCUUCGGAGUCUGCUUUUAGUACAGAUAAAGAGUUUUGAGCGAGGUCAGGAGUCGACUGAAAGAAGAUAUUUUAGAAGCAUUAAUGUGUGUUAAGGAUUGGUAGGACGUUCAUUUUCGACUACAAGAUAAAUAUGUCGAAAUUGCAUGUCGUCAAGUAAGUGAUAUUUGAUUUAAUUAUAUUGAUGAAACUUUUCUUUUCUUAUCAUUACUUUUACUUUUCUUUAAAAAAUUGUACACGCUACAAAAAAUUGUUCGUGUACAAUUUUUAACUCCGUUUACUGAAAAUUGAAGUAGCCGAUCCUAAACCCGGAUAAAGGAGGAGGGUUUAUAUUUUAUUUAUUUUUAAAAAAAAUAAAAAAAUAAAGAUUUCAUUUUUAUUUUUUUCUAUCUCUUUUAGUUUAAAAAAAAAAAAUUCUUUCGACCAAUUUAGUUAAAAAAAAUUUAGUACUUGGUACUAUUACUACUAUAUGUAUACAUUUUAAAUUCUUUUCUCGAACAACGCUGUGUGUACCUUUAUAUAUAAUUUUCGAAGUAAAUUCCUUUUAAAAAUUGAAAGGGUGAUCGAAUAAUUGCCCUUUUAAUUGUCAGAAAUCUUUCACUUCGAAAAUUGUAUAUAAUCUUCGAAGUGAAAGACUUCUAUAUAAUUUUCGAAGUGAAGACUUCUGACAAUUGAAAAGGCGUUCGAUUAUCAUUUCAAUUUUUAGAAGGGAGUUAUUCGAAAAUUAUAUGCAAGGAGACGUGCAGCGUUGCUUGAAAAAUUAAUUUUUAAUAUUGUUUGAAAUUUUCUUUAAAAAAUUGUACACAAACAAACAACACAAUUUUUAACUCCGCAUACUCUAAAUUUAAGUAGCCGGUCCCAAACUCUGAUAAAGGAAGAGGGUUUAGAUUUUUUACCUAAUUUUUUAUAUAUAAAAAAUUCACGAUUUAAAAAUUAAAUUUUUUUUCCAAUUUACCUAUUUGUUUCCAAAAAAAAAAAAAGAAAAGAAAAGAAAAACUACGGCGGCUCGCCAGCCGGGCUUGGCUCUGCCCACGAGCUCCGAGCUCGCCCAUUUUUGGACGAGUCGAGCUCAGCUCGUUUCAAAACGAGCACGAGCUCGGCUCAUGGCGAGCCCGAGCCGACACCCCUAGGAAAGAAUAAGUAAUGAUACAAAAAUAUUAAUAAAAAGAAAUGUACAAACAGAGUUAAUAAAAUCAGAUAGACAAUGUAUAGAAAAGUUAGUAGAAUAUAUUUCAGAUGAAUUUUUAGGAGAAAAUUAGAUAAAAAAUGUUGAAAGAGAAGAAAUAAGAGAAAAAGACAAUGCUAGAAUUAAACUAAUAAAUUUAACAAUAUGUGAUGUGUAAAAUUAAAGAAUAUACUUGUGAAUUUAGAAAUUAUUAUUAUGUUCAAUUUUACAGUAAUGAAAACCUAGAAGUAUAUCGAGAUAUGUACUAUAAUAAAUUACCAGAUUUAUGGAGAAUAUAUUUUAAAAUAGAAUUUGAAAAAUAUGUUAGAGACAAUGUUGAAAUAUCUAGAACUUUACGUUCCAGAAUAAAAUUUUUAUUUGAAAUACUUGUAUAUACAUGUCAACAAAGACAAUUAAUGAAAAAAUCAAGAAAACUAAUUAGAAUAUGUUGUGAAGAUAUGGAAAAUUCUAUACAGUGAGGAUGUAAUCUUGAAAGAAUGGUUAAUAAAAGAAAAUAUAAAAAUAAAAAAUUUAGAAAUUUUAAUAGAAAAAAUAUAAAACCUAAAAUAAGAUAUUAUAAAAGAAAAAAUAUCUCAUAUCGUCAACAGAAAAAUAAAAAUCAAUGUAAACAUUGAAAUUGUGGAGAAAUAUGUUAUAUAAGCCCUGAUUGUGAUAAAAAAAAAAGUUAAAAUAUUACAGAAAGAAUAUUUGGAAAUAAAAGAUGAAUUAAGUGAAAUAUCAUAUAUUGAAUAAUAUUAUAAUCAUGAAGUUUAUAUAAGUGAAACAGAUGAUAAUGAAUCAAAAUCUAAAUAAAGAAAUAGAGGAAAUAGAAAGUAAUAAUAUAAAUCUACAAUAAUAUGAAAGAAUAGAAAGAUAUGGAUUAAAAGUUACUUUUAAUAAUAAUAAAUUUAGAAAAUUACAAAAAAUAUCUUUAGAUUUAAAAAUAGGAAAAUUUGAAGUAUUAGAUAGAAUUUGGAAAAAAGAAAGGAUAACAGUAAAUGAAUAUCACAAAAUAGAAAAAAUCAUAAAUGUAAGAACAACAUAAAUUAAAUCUUUUAACAAAAAAUACAGUAGAAGAACUAUUAACAAAUGUUAGUAAAAAAUAAAGUGAAAAAAUUCAAUAUGUUUAUUUAGUAGGAAUACAGAUCAUGUUUAAAUCGUUAUUUAGAGAAGGAAUAGAUUCACUUUUAACUAUAACUUUGCAUGAUGGAAGAAUAAUAAAUUUAAAAAAUAGUCAUUUAAGAACAAUAGAAGGAAAUUUGGCAUAUCAAAAAAUAAUGUUUACAUGUUAUCCAAAAUAUUGUGUUUCAUUAAAAGAUAAAAAUAUUAAUGAAGUAUUAGAACUACAUUUUAAGCUGCUAGAGAUAAUAUCAUUCAAACAGGUGAUCAAAUUAUGACUAUAGAAUAUAAAGCUUUAUAUACAUUUACCAAUUCUAAUUCUGAAAAUAUUUAUUCUAAUAAAUCAUAUAUUGAAGUGCAUAAAGAAUGUAAGGAUAUUAGCAAAAUAAUAUGACCAAAUAAACAAACAAGUUUAAUUCCAGAAGAAUAUAAAUUUAGCAAAACAAAAAAUAAACUUGAAAUAACAUAAUUAAAUGAAGGAGAAUGUUCCAAUAAUAUAAUAUUUAAUGAUGGAAAAUUAAUUAAAAUAUGAUAAUGUUACAAACACCUUGUGGACACUUAUUAAAAAUUCUAAGAGAAUUUAAACCUUAUAGAGUUCAGCCAUUUCAGCGUGGUGAUAAAUGGGAGAAAAAAUCAAUCAUAUUUAGUGAAAUAAAAAAUAAAAGAAUAUUGUAUAAAAAAGUUUUAAAAAUGAAAAUAGAAAUAAGUAUAGAAAAAAUUAUAGAACAGUUAGAAAAAGUUUAUGGAGAAAAUUCAUUAUUAUUUGAAAAUCACAUCACCCUAAAGCCAAGAUAGAAUUGAUAAAAAAAUGUUGUAAUAAGAGUCAGACUAAUGAUGUAUACUGUAGAAGAUACAUAAGAAUUCAAAAAUCAGAUAAAAGAAUUGUUAUAACAAAAAUUUAUUAGACCAAGUGGACCUCAUAGUAGUCCAGCCUUUAUGGUUAUAUCUGAACAUGUUAGAGAAAAAGUUAGAAUGGUUAUAAAUUAUAAAGAAUUAAAUAAAUAUACUAAAUUUGAUAAACAUUUUUUACCAAAUAAAGAAGUUUUAAUAAACCUUGCAAAAGGAAAACAAUGUUAUUCUAAAUUCGACUGUAAAUCAGGAUUUUCGUAAAUAAAAAUAGAAGAAGAUAAUAUACAAUAUACUGCAUUUAGUACACCUCAAGGAAAAUAUGAAUGGUUAAUAAUGUCGUUUGGAUUAAAAAAUGCAUCACAAACAUAUAAAAGAUAACUUUAAUGAAUUUCUAAUUGUUUAUAUAGAUGAUAUACUGAUAUGUUCUAACAAUAAAGAAGAAUAUAUGAAUCAUUUAAUCCAAUUCAUAAAUGAAUAUAAAAAAAAAUGAAUUGUACUUUCCAAAAAGAAAUCUAUAAUAGAAAAACAAGAGAUAGAUUUUCUUAGAUUAUCAAUAGAUAAAAGAAAAAUAAAAUUACAGACUCAUAUAUCUAAAAAGAUAGAAAUUUUUUCAAAUAAAUUAGAAUUCAAAGAACAAAUAUAAAAACUUUUAGGAUGUUUAAAUUAUGCAAAAAGAUUCAUUGAAAAUCUUUCUAAGAAAAAUUAUAAAAUACAAAUUUUACGUAGAAAAACAAAUACUAAAGGAUAGAAUGAAGAACAUACAGAAUAGUUAAAUCAUUAAAAGAAGAAUGUAAAAAUUUACAAAAAUUAAGAUUAUCAGAUGAAAAAGAUAAUUUAAUUGUUAGUACUGAAUACUUAUGCCUCAGAUAAAUAUUGGGCAGUAAUAUUAAAAAUAAAUUUAAAUGAGAUUUGUAGAUAUUCAAGUGGAAUUUUUAGUCAAGUAGAAAUAAAUUAUACUACUCAUGAGAAAGAAUUACUAGUAAUUAUUAGAGGGAUAAAAACGUUUUCAUUAUUCUUACUAUCUAAGAAAUUUACUGUUGAGACUGAUAAUUCUCAAGUUGUAGGAUUAGUCAGGAAUAAAGUAUCAUCAGAACCUCAAUACAAAAGGCUCCAUAGAUGGCAAGCUUAUUUAGUAUUUUAUAAUUUUGAUAAGUUCAUAUUAAAGGAGUUAAUAAUAUUCUUGCAAAUUUUCUCAUGGAGUUAUAUCAAUCUAUAUUACAUAUACAAAAAAAAAAAGGGACAGAUUUUCUUAAGGAAGAAUUUGAAGAUAUAAAUACUGGACCAACACAGAUUUCAGAGAUGUUCAACUCAAAUAUAAAAAUAUUGUUGAAUAUCACUACUAAGUAUCAUAAAGAAGCCAUAGAACUCAAAAAUCAAGUUGAUGCUAUUGCAACACAACUAAAAAAUAUAUAGUCUAAGACAGAUAUACUCAAGAGUUCAGAAAUGAGUUUUCCAAAUUAAUACCAAACAGGAACAGCUGGAAGCAGCAGUGGACCCAGACGUGACAAUAUACCAAAUGAUAAAAAAGUAGAUUUCAUUUCAGUAACACCAACAAAAAAAAUGGUGAUACAUGGAAAUAAAAAAGAUUUCAAAACAAUCAUCAUCAUAGACCAGGAUGAUACAAUUCCUUUAGAUCCAAAAGAAGAAGAGUAUGCUAAAAUAGUUGAAUUGCUUAUAAAAUAAAAAUAAGUUAUUCAUAUUUCAUCUCUCCGAAAAAUAAUAUUUAUCCCAAAAUAACAGUCAUGGAAUGAAGAGAUCCUUUGUUUAUAAAGAUUAUGGUAGACUAUGGAUUUAUGAGUUUGAUAUAUCCAGGAAAAGAUUUGAUUGAAAUUUCGAAAUUUGAUAACAUAUUCAUAAAAGAAGUAACAAGAUUUGCCAAGAGACGAAGAAUAUAUUUGAAAUUUUAUUCAAUAUGUCUUGAAUACGAUGGAAUUAUUUAUUAUCCGGUUGAACAUAUAAUAUCAAUUGGGUAUGUAGCAGCCAACUUUCAAAUAGAUGUGGUGGAAAAUGAUAGAAAAGUUCCAACAGUAACAAGGUCAUGGAUCAGACAUAGAAGAGCACUUGGAAUUAAAGUCAUAUAUAAUAUUGCUAAAAAUUUGUUUGAUAAAAAAUUUUCAUGCUUAUGCCAAUAUGAAAAUUGGAUGCUGGUAUCAAAUGGAGGACAUGGAAAAUCAGAAAUAUUGAAAUAUUAGAUUACAAGAUUUGAAAUACAUCAAUUUCCAGGAUGUCCUACCACUAUAAGAGAAUCCUUCCAGUUAAGGGAGUGCCCCAGCAGCAUGUGAAGACAUAAAAGAUAAAUGACAAUAAUAGAAAAAGAUGCUCUUUGGAUAAAAAUUUGAAAAAGCAUGUGAAGAAAGGAGGACAAUAAUAGAAGCACUUUAAUAAAAAUCAGAUGUUGCAUGUGACGUAGGUCCAAAGAGGACAAUAAUAGAAAGGCAACUGUGUCUUUGCUGAUGUACUGAAUGAUGUAAUAGAUCAAUAAUAGAGCCUCAUAUAUUUGUAUAAAUAGAGGCAUUGUAAUAGAUAGAAAUCAUCUUAAAAUCUCGAAUUGUAAUCAGUAGCCACUCCCAAGCCAACCUUUGUCAGAAAAACCAGUUUUUCUGGAAAUCCUUGUAUACCAAAUAGAAAUCUUGUAAAAGUUCUGAUAGAAAUAAAAUUCUAAUAUUUUAAUAUCAAUAUGAGUUUCUAAAUCUUUAUUCACAAUGAUUCUUUAAGGAUCUAAUAGAAAGUUUUCUUCUUAUUUUAACAAAAAAAAGAAUUUUUCUUUAACAAAAGUAUAGAAUUUUAUUCUUUAGGUUGGUCAGUGAUUAUUUCAGGUCACUAAUAAAAAAUUUUGUAGGUCAUAAAUUAUUUCGAGGUCACAGUAAAAAAUUUACAAGUCACAAAUUAUUUCAUUAGUCACAAAAAAAAAAAAAAUUACAAGUCAAAAGGUCACAUAUUCUAUCUUUUGAAUUCCUGGCCUAUGACCUAUAAUCGUGAUAUGAUCCAAUGGCCUGUAACCAAGCCUCUUGAAUCUUCGACUUGUUUCCAAUGUACUUUGACAUGUAUUUUGAUAGGUCACAUAUUCAAGAGAUUUUGGUCACAGAAACUCAAUCGAUUAUGACCUAUAUAUCGCCACCAUCACAACCUAUGGACAUUGAUCCAUCACCAAUAUUCCACUACAGCCAUCACUGUAACACUCCACCACAACCACCAUUAUCGCACUAUCACCACAACUACUAACAACCCAACAACCAAGUAAAUCACCAAUGCCAACACUCCACUCUUCAACCUCUACAAAUCCAUUACAAAACACUAACUUCCAGUUAUGAUGGCCACUGAAAUCCACCACAAAUAAAUUCCUCUCUUCAACCUCUACAAAUCCAUUACAAACAUCAGCCCAAACAACAAACAAAUCGGACAAAAAUCGAGCCUCAAAAUCACAAGUAAUGCACAGCCCAUCCAGAUUCUUGCAACUUUGGCAACACCCACGUUCACGGACCACCACCAUCCGAUUAUCCUCACCUAGGUGACCAAUUUCAUGGUCUUGAUUCAUCAAAACCAGACCUACACAUCGAUGGCGAGAAUAAAAAAACUCCACAGUUGCGAACGAUUUCUGCGCGAACAGGCAAUCGAUCAAUUGAUGGACUAAAUGCAUUCCAAAUGAUGAAUUCUACCCAACAACAUCCAAUUGAGGUCCAUAAUAGAGUGGGUUACACAUCAAUUGAACCAAUUAACCAGCAAAUUUAUCCAAAUUUUGGGAUAUAUUACGAAAAAUUUCCUUUCGAGCUUUCUCUCAACCAUUGACGGCUCCACUGUGCUUCAAUACAGCAAAUCUAAUGCGGGAAAAUCAAUGGAAGUCCAAAAGAUGGCACCGACGAGUAGGGGGUAGAGAGAUGUCGCCGGAUUAAAUUGGGGGAAGAGAGAGCGAGAGCGAGAGCGAAAGUGGAGGCUGUGUGUGUUUAGAGAGAGAGAAGAGAGACUGGGGAAAUGGGUUUAAAAUUAGGGUUUGAAACCUGAUUUAUGAAUAAUAAAAUUUGAUCCCUAAUUUUUGAAUUCUAAUCUUUAAACACCAGGAAUUUUGUAAUUUCAUUUUUAAGCAAUUCCCCAAAGUGGAAAUUACACAAUACCAUAUUUUUAAAAUUUGAAUUUCAUAAACCAUAUUUCAAGUUUCAUAUUUCAAAAUUCAGAUUAUAAUUAAGAUUUAAUAUUGUAGUAAAUAAUAUAUUACUAAUUAAAUCAAUUCGUCCCCAAAUCAAUCGUUCUCUCUCUUUUUCCCCAUUUUUUCUUCUUCUUCGGCAACUCACCACUCACUUCGUCAGCACUGUGACAAUGAAGCUAUUGUAGUGGAGUGAGUAUCGCCUUUGGCAAUAACUAUGUCUCUGUGAGCGGAUCUAAACAACAACAUCAGAGGCGCAGUGUUAUCUCGUCCAAUUUAGGCAUGGUGGAGUCCAGCAUGGAGCGACUAGAUUUGGUUGUGGAGAUUAAGAUGGGGUCAGGAGAGCAGUGGGAGAGUCCGGCCGACAAGGCUUAUCGAAUUUCAAUCACAAAUUUGAAUUUGUGGUGGUUUGCAAUUAUGGUGGUCGAGGAACGCCAGUGGUGGAGUCUGGGCGAUGAGGCUUAUUAGAGUCCGAGCAAUGAGGCUUAUCAAAUUCCAGUCACAGAUCUGAAUUUGUGGUUGUUUGCAAAGGUUUGAUGGUUUUUGUGGCAGAUUUGUAGUAGCCUUUGAACUCAUUUGUGGUGGUUUUAUGGUGGCGACGACAAUGGUUGCAUGUUUAUAGUGUGUCAAAUGCUGUGUUGACAUCUAGAGGUAGUGAUAGGUCACAUGUUUUAGGUGUGUUUUUGAGUUGAUAGGUGAAGACAAUGGUGGUGGCGGCGGCUUGGUGCUCGUGGCGGUGGUGUUUGGAUGGCGAUAGCUUUGUUGGAUCCAACGGUGGUGGAGGUAUGUUGGAUCUGGUGGUGGAAGUGGAUUUGUUGGUGGCGGUGGUUAUAGAUCUUGCUUGGUGAGGACGCUGGUGGUGGUGAUGUGUUUGAGAUAAUGGUUUUGCUGCCCUGACUGUGGAUGACUGUGGUUGUGGUUGUUGAUGACGGUGGUCGUGUUGAUGGUGGUCACAGAUUAUUUGUUUGAUUUUGACCAAUAAAUUGAUUAAUUUAUGACCAAUAAAAAACAUGUUACCAACAAAAAAUAUAAAUUGUGACAAAAAUAAUGUCUAGCCUAAAAAAUUGUUAAUCUGUGAUCAAUAAUUUGAUAAUUUGUGAUUUAUAAUAUUUGUUAUUUGUGACCAAUUAAUAAAUCGUGACUUAUAAAUUUUUUGAUUUGUGAUCGAUGAACAAACUAUGACUUACAAAAAUUUUGAAUUGUGAACGUAUAAUAAUUUGUGACAUAAAAUUUUUUAUUUGUAAUCAAAAAAUAAUGCGUGACUCACUAGAUCGUUAAUUUGUGAUCAAAUUGUAUAGAUUUAUGACCUAAAUAUGAGUUCUGCUAUGGUAAGAGGGUUGAGGACACGCUCAAUCCCUAUUUUUUUCCUUGUCCCCAGGCCUGUCACUUUAGCAUUAGUGCCUAAAUAUAUGUAAUUAACAAAAUAAUUAAUUAAUCAAUUAAUUCAUAGAUAAAUUUUAAUAAAAAUUUGAUUUUUUAAGUUUGAAACUUGUUUUCUUAAUUUUGAAAUGUAUGGUACUUAUAUUCUUACUUAUGAAAUUUUCCCCUCCCCAAAUGUGAUGGACGGGCCUAUGUGGUCAAAGAAUAAUGUGUCGUUAGAAAGGUGGUUAAUUUUGAGUCCCUUUCUAAUUACUUUGAUUGAGUCUCAUUUGUAGAUUUUGAAAAUUUUGGGACUAUGACUGGAUGGGGCACCACAUGUAUUUUCCGUUGGCCACAAUACUUAUUCCGUUAAAUAAUUGGAACGGAUGUUAGGUAAUGAGUAACGUCUAACGUUUUGAUAAGUUUAAUGGUCAAAACUUGAUAUCUUAAACUUCAAUGAGCAACUAAAGACAGAGACAUAAGUUCAGUGACCAUUGUGACAAUUAACUCCAAAAUGAAAGGAUAAGAGAUAUUAUGCAAAAUCGCUUUUGCUAUCAUUUAGUGACUUGUGGAGGUUGGUUUGAAGAAAAGAUGAGGUGAGGGUAGGUCAUCAUAUGAGGUGAUGGCUCUCCAUCCGACGAUUGCACCACGUAGGAUGGUGCGACCAUUUCACCAAAGUUUUUCAGGUUGGUUUGAGGUAGAUUUUAGGGGUGGCAGCGGGUUAGGUUUGAGGCGGGGCAGCGGCUUCCCUAGUUUGCUUCCCCCUUUUCUUAUACAUUUUCAAAAUUUCGAGUUAUGUUAUUAUUAGAUAAUAAAAUAUAAAUUUAAAAUGGGUUUUUAAUGGGUGAAUUGUCCAAAAAUGAUUUUUUUUUUUUUAAAUUCCUCUUCACGCCGCCCCGUCUCACCAACCUAUUGGGCUGAUUUUUUUUUGCCCCAUUCAGGGCAAGAUGGGACGGGGUUUUUUGGCCAUUACUAGUAGAUUUGUGUUGGCAUGCCCAAUGAUAAUUUAUGUCGGUAUGAGUUGAAUAUUUGUUGCCUCCUUUCACGAUAUUGUGGCAAGUUAGAUUGCUUGUAGCUUAAUAGUUAAUACCAUAUUUCUCGAAAGGGAAAAUUACACUUCAGGUCCUCACCCUUCUUAUAUCGUAGCACGUGGUUCCUCUAACCAUUUUCUCUUUGUAUUUUGUCCAUAAUGUUUCAGUUUUAGGUCUCCAUGGAUAGCUUCCAUCUAAAAAAUCCAUUAUAUAUUCACGAGGCAUUCUGCAAACGUCAAAUGAAGUGAAAUAUUGCACAAAGUUCUUAUAAAAUACUCGAGAGCCGCUAUAUGUUUCUAUGACUUAGAUACAUGGAAUAUAUUAUGCAUUCUGCUUAUCAAUUCCAGUAGUUUUAGCUUUCGAUUCUCUAUAGGAUUUCGAAUUCCUUGUUCAGGCUUCAUUUUCCAAAAAAUGCAUUUCACUGUCUUUUAUUUUUAAUCACACAUUCUCCGUAAAAUAAUAUUAUACGUAAAUUCAAAACUUUUUCUUAUUUUUUAAUGUCAUAUUUAAAAAAAAAAAUUACUAUUUGAAAAUACAUUUUUUUCCUUCCUAAAAUACGGUUUUAAUGGAGCUCAAAUAGGGGCUAAAUAUUAUAAUCCCUUCUGGUUGUGGUAAAGUAAUAUCAUUGUCUUAAAUUCGAUAUUUUAUAUAUUUAUUCAAAUAUUUUGUGUGAUUCAUUACUAAUUUUCUUUGUAAAUUUACUGUUCCGUUAACCUAAAUAAUAUGAAGUAUGAACUAAUUCUAAUCAAAAUAUCUAUUUUAUUUAUUAGAAAAACCUAUAGUCUAAAUAUUCAAUGUUUAGUUGUAUCCAUAUUAUUGGAUACUCAAAACAAAUACAAGGCUCGUGGCAAAUAAGAUUACUUUUCAAACCAUUGGUUUCAGUUUGUCAUAUCUAAAUUAUUUAGUUAAAUUGUUUCUAAAUAGGUAAUUGAUCUGAAAUUUCUUUUAAAAUUUUGAUAAAUUUACUGAGAAAUUACAAGUAAAAAAUCUCUCAAUUGACCAUAAAAGAUACACGGACUAAUCUAUAAUUCUCAUUCGACUUGAGUCCAUAUUGUUCGUGUUAUUUGAGUUCUAAAUCUUCAAUUUUCUUAUUAUUCAAGUGACUACUUUGCAAAAAAUUACUUAAAAUAUUAUGUCUUUUACAUGGAAAUUACAUAAAAAAUAAAAAAAAUCGAAAUAGUCAUUUACCUAGGAAAAAAUAAGUAUUAUUUUCGAGAAAAUUAGUUUUUCAUUUAACAAUAAAAUAAAAGCAUGUUUGAGUCCCAAUUUUUUUUUCUUUUUCAAAAAAUGCAUUUUAUAAUGGUGAUUUGAUAGAGAAUGCGUUGUUAAAAAAUAAGGAAAGUUUCAAAAUUACAUGCAAGAUUAUUUUAUUAAAAAAUGUUUGGUUGAAAUAAGAGAGAAAAAUGUGGGCAUCUUCGAUAGUGGUUAUGAGAAUUGAUUUUUUUAACUGUUAGAAAAAACAGCGGUCUCACCUGUAAGUGAAGAAGUAAAAAAUGAUGACUAAAAUAGUGAAAUAACGAUAAAAAAAAGUAAUUUUUUGGAUGAAAAAUUGUUACCAAGCAAAGGCUGUAUUUUUUAAAUAAUGGGUGUCAAAUAAGGGCUAAAUAAAAAGGGAAAAAUUUAUAACUAAGAGAUUAAAUAUCAUAAACUAAAAACAAAUGUUUCAGAUUUCAAGAAUCAAAUAUUUAUUAAAAUUUAUUUAUGAUUUAAUUAAUUAAUUAAAUAUAUUAAAGUCAUAGAUUUAUGCAAUUUGAUCAUGAAUUAACGAUUUAGUUAGUCAUAUAUUAUUUUUCGAUCACAAAUCAAAUUUUUUACAUGUCACAAAUUAUUAUACGAUUACAACUCAAAAAUUUUACAUGUUACAAAUUAUUUUUCGGUUACAAGUCAAAAAUUUAUAAGUCACGAUUUAUUUAUCGAUCACAAAUCAUAAAUGUAAUAAGUCAUAACCAAUUAUAUAGUCAUAAAUUAUCAAAUUAUUGGUUAUAAAUUUACAAUCUUUAUGUCACAUGUUAUUUUUUGAUCACAAUUUAUCUUUUUCAUUUGUUACAUACUGUUUAUUGGUCACAGACAAUCAAAUAAUUUCUAACCACCAAUACUUACGACCACCAUCUCACUACUAUCUCCAAUAGUACCACCAUCACCAUCAACGUCAGAGCCACCACCAACACUUCCCAAUAGCGACACCAUCUCAAACAAAUCAACACAUCAUAGAAAACCACCACCACAUCGUCACGUUAGAUCUAUCACUACCUUGACAGACCAUCAUCGCACCCCAACAUUUCACCAUCACCACCGACCUUCGCCACAACCCCCACUAUCGACCACCCGCGCAUUGCCAAAAUAUGGAAGUUGUCACCUGAUAAGUGUGUUUUUGCACACUUAUUUAGGUCACAAAUAUGACUUAAUUACGAAUAAAAUGAUUGAAUUGUGACUUAAUUUCGUUAUAUUUGUGAAUUGUAGGUAAUACCGAUGAAUAUGGUGAAAUACAUGAGAAAAGACGCGAAAAAGGACUAAAAUGACACAAAGUGAAAGUUCAAGGACAAAGGUGCAAUUACCCAAAAGUUGACCCGAUGAACAAAUCAAGAAAUUGAGUUUGCCAUAUAGAAAUUGAUGACAUUUUGGGAUGAUGGAAUGUGAAGAAUGAAGAAAAGAUGCAAAGAAUUGGAAGAUUCAAGUAAAAGGACUAAUUUGCAAGAAAUGAAAGUUUAAUUCUACCAUGCGGUUGCAUGGUAGAAAUGUCGUGCAGCCGCAUGAAGUGAUGCAGGGAAUUCAAUUGGAAAAAGAAAAUAACCAUGCGGCUGCACGGAUUAAAAUCAUGCGGUCACAUGGUAUGUUUUCGGCGCGAUUUUUUUCUUUCUUUAUACGAUUGAAACACCUAUGGUAACCUAAUUUUUCACGGGAUAUAAUUAUAAAAAAACAUUCCAGAGACGCCCAAAACAUAAUUGGAGACCGAAAAACAAAUCUUGGAGAGGAUUUGAGCGCAAGAACAAAGAUUGACACGAAGAACUUCAAAAUUUAUUCAAGAUUUUAUAACCCAGUGAUGUCUUUUAUACAAAAUAUGAUGUAUUUUGUUAUUUUAAUCAUGUUAGGCUAGAUUUUUAUUAUGCUAGGAGAUCGAUGAACCAUGUGAUUUGAAUUUUAAUAUUCCAGUUUUGCAAUUUGAUGUUAAGACACAAUUUUUACUAUUUUGAAUGAUUUAUAUGCAAUUAAUGUUUCCGCAAUUAAGGGCUCGUAAUUGUGUGAAUUUAAGUGAUUUAUUCUUGCAUUCGAGAGAAUUAGAAUAGAUUUGACAUAAUAUAAAUCAUCGUAGGGUCCGAUAGUGGAUAGAAAUAUACUGCUAUGCCCUACGUGAAUCUUUAAAUGUUCAAAAAAUCGCAUUCAUUUUUGACAUAUGCUCUUGUCAUAAAAAUAUAGAUCGGUGGUAUAUAGAAAUAGGUUUGAUACAUCUCGAGAGAGAGUAUCGGAUAGAUUUAGGAACAUUGAUUCGUCAAAAUUGAAAUGUGGUGUCAUAUUGUGAAACUAGGCUUUAAAGUGAUAAUUGCAUGAGAAUUCGUGAUCCUAGCAUAUUUCAUUCCUAAUAAUUAUAACAAGUGCGUUCUCAACUUUUAGAUUUCAUUCUAGAGUUUUAAAUUAUUAUUUUGCAUAUUAAUUUCAAUUUAAUCAUAAAAAAAACUGCAUAAUUGAGGUUAAAUUAGGUUUACAUUUACUUUGGUAAUUUAGUUUCGGUUAAGGCUACGGUAGGUAAAAUUUUAACUAAUCAAUCUCUGUGGGACGAUAUUCGGACUCAUUAAAUUCACUUUAUUACUUGUUAAUGAACCAUACACUUGCGGUGGUUUAAAAUCGAAAGAAAUAAUUUCGCGAACAUCACCACCACCUCUCCAACAACCAAACUAAAAACAAUGCCUCAUUGCCAUCAACCACCUGUGCCACCCCCAUCGUACUGCAACCACCACCCACAAAAAAAAAAUCGCCAAACUAGCAUCCACCACCCCACACCACACCAUGACCACAUCCUGCAUCCAAAAAUAACCACCACCACCACCUUCGCCUCUACCACACAACAAUCAACACAACAAAUAAUAGAUGAAGAGAAAACAGAAAGAAUAUAAAGCGUACUAUCAUCGUUGCAAGAAUGACGACGUCAAGCGCUUCGUGUAGCGACGAUUAAUAAAGCAAUAAUGUAUCGUCGCUAUACACAAAGAUACAUCGAUGGGCAUGUGUCGCGGCUGCUUUGUGUGCAGCGGUGAAGCGAUCCCCUCCGCCCAUUGUGGCUGUUUCAUGCACAGUGGCAUUGCGCUUUCUUGCUUCCUGUUGUCGACGAAGGUGUGAAAUGAUGUAGCCGAAUAGAUCGGUGCGAAAUGAUUGAAGUGGUGUGAAAUAAACUAGGGGUUGUUGGGGUGGAUGGAUUGACGUUGAUCGGUUAUUUAAUUUAAUAAUAAAAAUAAAUUAUUAAUUAACUGAAUAUUUGAUUUUUGAAAUAGUAAAUCCAGCAUAUAAUUUAUGAAAUUGAAUGUUUAAAAGCUUCUAUAUCAUUUUCAAAAAUAAAAAGUUACCAUUUUAGGCUUAGAGCUGACCGGCGAAACAUAAGUCCUAUAAAAUGUCUACAGCCACUGGCCUAAACCCUUGAAAAGCCUUAAAUCACUUUAAAGGCACUUAUUAUGUCCAAUGACAACGAGGAAAAAUUCAUGUUUGGACCACGAAGUGAUUAAGAAAUUGAGGUCGAAAGUGAUACUGAAGGCCAACCUAAUGUAGUAGAUGAAGAAAGAAGCUGAUUCAGAAGACGAAAAAAUCCGAUCAAAGAAGAAAUCGCAGUCGCCAUGGGAUUUCUCUUCCUACUCUGAAUCAGUAGCUGAUGAACACUUCUGGCGCAGCAUUUCCUCCAUUGACGAAAAAAUUUCCAAUGCUCGUUUGCGUCAUCCUAUCCCCACCACCAAUACCCAGGCCCGGUCCUAGGCCAAGGCGAAUGAGGCCUGCUCCUUAGGCCCAAGAUCUUAGGAGGCCUCAUUUUGGCCUUUUUUUUUUUUAGUUCAUCUGGCCCAAAUGAAAUGCCCAAUCCAAUAACUAAACCAAUCCCAACCCAACAAUCCAUUUAAACAUAAAUCCCAACCCAACAAUCUAUUUAUCCAAAUCAAAUCUAAUCCAUUUACCUAAAUUCCCAAAUUUGAAAAUUCAUAUCAAAUGCCUCCGACUUUCACGACUGUCACUCCACCGUCACUCCCCUUUCCACAGUGACACAGUCCGGUGAGUGAUGUGAGUGACGGUGAGUCCACCACGAAUCUUAUCUGCCUUGGCCCUUCUUUUGGCUUCUGCUUCUACCGUCGGCUUCGCUGCUUGCCUCCGCAGCCUGCAGGUCCGCCGUCCGCACACCGCACUGCACAGGCCACAGGACCAUAAAAAUCCCCUUCCCUCCGCUACACUAGCACGCAGAGCCCGUACUUGCUGCAAGGCUAUGAGAUUUUAUAGUUUUUUAAUUUUAUUUUUAUUUUCUCGUUCUAUUUCUCACCUCCACAAUAUCACCUUCUUUGGCAACAAUUCGUUUAAUAAAUACAUCUUCAUCUGUGUAUCCAACUUCCUGAAGAACUGGUGGGCUUUUGAAGAUCACAAUAUCAUUGGGACAGGGCUUCCUGAAAUAAUAGAAGACCUGUACAUUUAAAAUUAAAAAUGACGGAAUCAGUUACCAAAGCUUUUGGUGGACUACGGACAUUAUAGUAGUUCAAUUAGUAGAAUUUUAAACAAGGGGAGGACAUCAACAUCCAUUUUCAGAAGUAAGAGUUUAAGCAUUUAGCAAUUAGCAUCAUAUUGAUUGCAGCAGACAACUGAGAUGUGAUGCAUAGUUUAUCAUAAAUUCAUAAUAUAAAGAAGAAAUAGUUAGUAGAUUUAAAAAUAAUAGCUGGACCAGUUCUAGCUCAUGAAGCUUGGAGCAGUGUAUAGCUUUUCGGAACUAGUUGAAACGGCAUAUUAUGGUAAGUUUCGAAAUUUCGACUGGCUAGAACAAUUCCAUGAGUGAUGACCUUCAGCUCCUAGUUUGGGAUAUAAAUUCGAAGGCACCCAUUUUGUUGAUGCAUUUACUUCGACCUUUUUUCAAUGAAGAAACCCUUGAACCUCAUUCUACUUGUGUGUUCCUUCCAAUAAUAAAUGUAUUAUAUCAAUUCUAAAUUUCUAAUUGAUGCCUAAUCCUGUUCAGAUGUUCAUCUCCACCCUUGGGUCAUUUUUCUUAAACCUAUAUACAUAGUUAAGAUAACUUCUGUAAUACAAUUAAUCCACAUGGUUUUAUAUUUGCUUUGAAGGGAGUUUAUCCUGCACUUGGUCUGUCACCAUCAUAUGUGAAAUUCUCUCUCUAGUAACAUCACUGUAAUAUUGCAGCAAAAUCUAUGAUCUUCAAUUUAUUUCCGUUCUUCAAAUCAUGAAUGCAAAAAUAUUUUUAGAUAUCUACUGAUUCAUGCUCUAAAUUCUUCGAUUUUCUUUUCGUCGUUUGUAAUUUCUGCUUUUUCUCCUAGCUAUCUGCUUGUUUGGGAGUGGAAAUCUAAGCGUUAUAUAUUGAAGCAACAAGGGCAUUAUUUUGAUGUAAACUCCAUUGCAUAUUCACCAAAUUCACAGUUUUUUGCCACCGGAGCAGAUGAUAACAAAAUCAAGGUAAGUGAAGGAACAUAUUUUUCUUUGCAUUAGUAUUAGUUAUUGGAUUUCGCUGCAUAUGCCACUCUGAGAAAUUAACCUGUGAACUUGUAAUGGUACUCCAACAAAUUGAAAUGGUUAUUCCUUUUGAUUUUCCAGCUGAAUAAAGUGCAAUUUGCCAAAAGCUACUAAUUGUGAAGUAUCAAGUGGUCCAACUGUAGAUUAGUGAUAUGCAGCUAAAUAUUAAUUGACGUGUUUUUUUCCUCAUUAAUUUCUUGGAGAAAAGCACUUGUUCAUCUCUCUAGCAUUAUGUUCCCUCUAGUUUCUGUAGAUCGAUUCAAUAUCUUGUUUUUACAGCCUGCUCGACUCCCCUAAGUUUUCAGCAGCUUAAAUUCAUCUAAAAUAUUUGUUUUUUUAUUGACUUUUUUCCUUUUCUAAUCUAGUUAAGCUUGUGGUUCUCUGAUUCAAUUGUGGUUAUUGUUUUAAUGUUAGUUUUUUAAGUUAGCAAUGAGUUGCAUAAUACACCUUUGAAUUUUGUCGCUAGGGGGCCUACUUUUCAUCAUUCGCCUCAGGGCCCAUCAGAUACAGGACCGGCUCUGCCAAUACCGACUCUGAAGAAAAUCCUGAUUCUGAUUUCGGAACCCCACCACCAAGUGAUGAAUAAUAUCAUUCUGAUUCAAUUUUGAUUGAGAAAAUCAAAUUUGUGUAUUGAUUUGGGAAUGGUUGUUGGAGUAAUUAUGCUGCUUCUUGUAUGCUUCUUGUUAUUUCCAUUUUUUUCCACACAAAUUCGUUUUUAGAGCUUCUUCUUUCCAGGCCCUUGCUGCGGGCUUAUGAAGCUUUGGCCUAUAGUAAGCCCACCCCAAUCCAGGUUCUUAAUUUUUUUUAUAGUUUUUCUUUUCCCUUUAGAAACUGGAUGAAUUGAGUUAUGGCAUUUUAGCUAUUGGUCAAGUUGAUCUUUCUUUUUCCUUUUUAUAUAGGCUGCUCGUAUUCCAUUAGCCUUAACCGGUUGUGAUAUGUGUGGGAGUGCUAUUACUGGUUCUGGAAAGGUACAUUACAUAAUGAGCUGGUGACAAUAAGAAUAAUUGGUUAGCAAUAAGUAGUGCUGGUUGAUUGUGAUGCUUGAAAUGACAUAUAUUGUCCAUCUUUUUCUUGUUUUUAAUUUUUGUAGCAUAUUAAGAGAUUUUUGGAUGCUUAUUUGUGUUUUCAGUCAUAAAGAUGUGAUUUUUAUAUAAGUGAUGAUUUUAUUGUUCUUUACCUGCAGACUGCUGCUUUUGCCCUACCAACCUUGGCGAGAUUGUUAUAUCGUCCAAAGAAUAGGCCUGCUAUUAGGGUUAUAAUUCUUACACCAAGGGAGUUGGCCGUCAAGUAAGUGCCACUUCAAGUUAUUUUACGUGUGCACCCGAGUUUGUUAUUUAAAUGUCUGUGUCUAUGGAUACAUGUUUAUGGUACUUUUUUUUACCUUUUGGCUAUUUUUAUGGAUCAAACUCAAACAAUUGUAUCUUCUUCUUCUGAGAAGCUCAAAGAAGUACUCGUUACAUGUAUACCAUAUGAUGCAUGCACAUCAUUUUUCUGUGUUAUUUAGCUAUUAUCUUUGGACCAUUGAUCAAAUUUUUGUUCCCAAUUCUCAUUCCGUUUCCCACAAGAACAUAUUGAGAUCUCAUACUUGGACUUUAGUGUUUCUUUUCCCUCCACGUUGAAGAAUCUUUCAUGACAUGAAUUUGGGAUAGCAUUUCUAAUUUUGAACGUAUUUACAGUAGAGUGAAGAAAAUGCAAAAUCCUCAUAUUUAAGUUUUAAGAUUUAGCUUGUUAAAUGAGGAGGUGCUAACAUGCUGAACCAUGGUUAAAGUACAUAUACACAUUUGCUUAAUUUGCAUUACCAGCGUUGAGAUUAGCAGUUUUUUUAGGGAGAGAUUUAGAUAACCAACGAUGUUAGCUAUGAGUUCGCACCCCCUGCAAGAUCACGAUGUUGAACCAUGGUUAAAGUACAUAUACACAUUUGCUUAAUUUGCAUUACCAGUGUUAAGAUUAGCCUAACAUUAAGUUUCUAUUCCUCUGAGUAGUGGAAAAUCAAUAUCCUAAUGAAAAGAUCCUCACAAAGAGAAACUAGGUAUCCAAAGAAUGGUUGAUACACAGGUUAACACAUCUUGAAAGUAGCUUGAAAACUACAUUUUGCUUUAUGGUUUCCUCUGUUUUUGUGUUUAGCCAAUUUAUUAUCUAGUUUAUCUCUUCCUAUAUAUCAGGGUUCAUAGCAUGGUUAUGAAAAUUUCCCAAUUUAUGACACAGAUCAGAUUUUUUUGGUGGUCAUUCAACAAAGGUUUAUACUAGAAUGUGAGAAUUCCUUGUUUUGUUAGGUGAAGCUUGAUGCUCUAUCAUACUCUAGUUUGGGGGGGGGGGGGGGAACUGUAGUAGCCGAGAAAAAUAAAAUGGAAUUAUACUAAUAUUUUGUAAUGAUCUAGCAUCACGAGUAUAACCCAUUUUAGAAACGACCUACGGAAGCUCAACCCAUGUAAGAUUACGAAAGCCCAAGUCAUAAGUUAAUUAAAAGCCCAGCAAUUUAAGAGAUUAAGUUUAAGUAAAAUUGAUUACAAAGAUUUAAUGAAUAACUAGAUUGUCCAAUGGUCAUCUACAUGGUAUUUCAUAUAGGCAACUCAGGUUCGAAUCACCAUGUAAAUGUUUUUUAUAAAACUUUUAUAUGAAUUAUUUUUAUGGCCUAGAGACUCUUCAAAUUCUUAGUUAAAGAUAAAUUUAAUAAAUUUAAUGAUAAUACAACUCCCCCACUUAAUUUUUCAUUAAAAAGAAAGGUUAUAGAAGUGAAAUGUCACUUUUUCACUACACUCCUCUUCAAAUCUGAAUUUCAUCUCUUUUUCUCUAAAAAAAAUAUAUUUCAUAUCAAGUUAAGUUUAAUGAAUAACAAGGGUGAGAAGAAGGAAGACUUUAAUGUUUAAAUGAAAUGGUACCUUCGGGUACGGUGCUUUGACAUUACAAUAGUUUGAAUGAUCAUUCUCCAGCUCUUCAUGUUAUGAUAAUCCAAUAGUAAUUGGAUUUUGCCAAAAAUUCAUCUACGUGCGACGGUAUGAAUCUAUAGUUCGAAAUUUCUAAUUUGAUAACGAAUUGUACCGAUGAUAUCUAUUGAGUUUCAAACUCAUGGAUUAAUUCCCUUCCUACAGGUUGAAUGGAUUUUCCUUGGGGCGUAGAUGAUGGUAAAUGAUGAUGCAACAUGUCAUGGAGAAGCCGGUGUUUUAUAUCUUUAGUUGAUUUUGAAAUGUUUACACUUUCUUUAAAUUUGAUUUCUAUGAAUAUUGUGUGGAUCUAUUUUAUGAACACUCAUUAUGAAUAAACUAUGUUUGAAAGUAGAUAUGCGUCAUAGGAAUAAAUUUACAAAUCACCGUAUACAAAAAAAAGUUAGCGACUUAAAGUUUUGAUGUCUCUGCAGAAAUUUCAGUUUCUGCCUUAUCUUUAAAAAAAUCAUAACACUUUCAUUACUUGGUAUUUUAUACGAAACCAAUUGGAUUGGAUAGCCUAAUAAGUUAAAUACUGAAUAAAAUUGGAAUCAUGUCAAUCCAAUAUCGGUAAAAGGUUAUAUGUCACAUAAAGUAAACUGUGCUGGGUGCUGUCUCUGUUUUUCAGCUUCUGCCAUUGGUUUCAAAAAUUUAUAACUCACUCGUUACUUGGAAUUUUUGGAUGAAACCAAUUGGAUUUGAUAGUCUCAUGGAUUAGCUACUGAGUAAAUUUUAAAUCAUGUGGUUUUGACGUCGGUGGAAUUUUAUAUGCCAUUUUAAGUUAAUUGCACCGGUUUACCUUUCAACUGGGUCGCUGCUAAGUUUUGAAAAAUAUUUUAAUACCCCAUAUGAUGUCGACGGAAGCUAGUUUUUGGCUUUGUCAUAUUAUAAUGAGUUUACUACCUUACAUUAAAAUUUAAUGAAGUUUCAAGGUCGAUUGCUAUGAAAAUAAAUUUAUUUUGACAAUUAUUGUUUGAAAAAAAAAAUUGGAACAACAACAGUAACUUUUAAGUUUUGCCAAAAUUUCACGUCAGUAGUCGUUGCAUGCAUGGAACUCAUUCUAAAAAUAUUUUUGAAAUUUUUUUCUUUUAGAAUUGGAUUAUUGUUUAAAUAAGAAAAAAGAAAAUUCUUUAAUUAAAUUCUAAAAUUUUAUCUUUAUACUUUCUACUAAAAAUAUAUUGAACUAACUUUACGGUUAAGGUACAAUGGUUUGAAUGACGUUUCCAUCCAUGCGAGUUGGGGCGUUACAGUGUGGUAUCAGAGCACUAGUUAUAGUCGAUUCUGUAGACUUAGUGUAUUUUAUUUAUGAGAUGAAAAAAAAAUGAAACAUUUAAGGCACUCCAUGGCUUCUUGUGUCUAUCAGUUGACCUCAUCCGACGAACCCAUUAUAUGGAAUAAAAUAUUAUGUUCCACAUUAUUUUUCGAACAUGAUUUUGAUUUUUUUUUAAUCAUUUAAGCUUGAAUCUAUGAAAAAUUCUUAUGAUGUUUUGAAUGAAAUAUGCUAUGUACAUUAUAUUUUGUUUAAAUAUACGUGAAGAAAUGAUGAUUGACCAUCAUAUUAGAACCUCAAGAGCAUAAUGUAUAAGUUGAUAUCACUAAUGAAGAUAACACAUAAUUGGACACUUAUGUGACAGACAUGGCUAGAACUUAUCAGACCGCUAGAAAGGCCACAGUUUGUAUAGCAGUGUUAAAUCGUAGGGCCAUCAUCCAGUCCUAUGAGAACUAUUUUACUAACUCGUCUCGUCCACUUGUUGAACACGUACAUGAUAUCUACGAGAGAUGUAUGGCAGUUGUAGAUGCGAGACUGGAGAUCAUGCAUAUCGAGGCUGUGAAUAACCUUAUACAUUUACUUCCACCUCAGUGGGGAAACAUGGGAGUCAUUGUUAGGGAUGAGAUACUAGGGGGUAACCAUCCAUAGCACUCAAAUACGAUUGAAUUUGGUAUAUAUUGUCAGACCUUUCUAGACAGAUGGAGUGAGAGUUUAGAACCUUAACCGGAGAUAGUAAUUGAGCCCAAUAAUGAGGUUGAGCUUGAGCUCGAGCCCGAACCUCAGUUUGAAUUAGACCCAGGGGAAGAUCCCGAAUGGGAGCAUGAGGAUGACUUUGGGUUGGACUUAGAGAAUGAUCAUGAGCAUGAACCUGAGCCACAGGUUGAGAUGGACCUAGAGUCAGGGCCUGAGACAGAAGACUCCUCCAAAGAUGAGGCUCCGCCGAAGAAGAUUCGCAAGAUCAUAGGGAUUAAAAAUUUAGAUUUCCAUUUCCUUGUGAUAUCUUUUCCUUUAUGUUUUUGAAAAAAAAAAUCAAUUCUGGUUUAAGAUCUUGGCAGGCUGAAUUAGAAUCCAGCUCCACCUACACCACCAGCUCCUAUUACUCUUCCGACUCACACCUUGGUAGUUGAGUUAUUUCGAAGGCAUAAGUCCCCUAUCUUCGAUGGAGCAUCUGGUCCACUAGUAGUUGAGGAAUGGCUUCGUAAGCUAGAACGAAUUUUUCGGCUCAUAGACUGCUCUGAUGCCCAAAGGGUUCAAUGUGCGGAGUUUAUGUUUACCGGUGAUGCAAGUCACUGGUGGGAUUUGAUGUCCCGAACUAGGACUCCGGAGCAGCAAUUGGCAAUAAUUUGGGAACAAUUCAAGGAGGAAGUGAUGGACAAAUAUUUUCCUCAAUCUCUAAGGGAUUUCAAGGAGAACGAAUUCCUUUAACUCAAAUAGGGUAAAAUGUCCCUAACGGAUUACGAGCGGAAGUUCGAUCAACUCUCAAGGUAUGCUCCACAUCUGGUCGACACUAAAAUUAUGAAAACUCGAAGGUCCGAGCAAGGGUUAAACCCAAACCUAAGUAUGAUCCUUAUGUCACAUCGCUUCACGUCGUACCGUGAGAUGCUGAAACAAGCUCGCGCUAUCUGGUAUCAAAAGGCUAAUGCAGAGCAACAUCGUCAAUUGUACAACCACAAGGAUAAAGGGCAAAUUGGGAAGAAAAAGUGGAAUGGUCAAGACAAAGGAAAGGGAAAAUGGCAAAAUAAGAAAGUUAAUAUCGGAUCUAGCUCCAGUAAGGCCAUGGUAGCUGCAGUAGUGUCAUGCCCUAAGUGUGGUAAGCCUCAUCGUGGUGAAUGCUUGUAUGGGAAGAAUGCCUGUUUUUGGAGUGGCAAAUCAGGACAUAUUGCUAGGGAUUGUCCCAUAUUUGCUCAGAGGAAGGAUGAUAACAAUGAUCAGAACAAGAAGGGAAAAGCACGAGUUUUUACAUUGACUCAAAAAGAUGCAGAGGGGAACUCAAACGUAAUAACGAGUAUUGUACUGGUAGCCAAUACACCUGCUUAUAUACUAUUUGAUUCAGGAGCUACUCAUUCUUUUGUAUCAACGUCUUUCAUUGCUAAAUCUAGUAUUGCUUGUAACAAAUCAAAGAGUACACUAGAAGUUAGCCUCCCCUCAGGCAGGACAUUGAACACAAACAAGUUAGCUAAGUCAAUGAAAUUUGAUAUUGAGGGAAAAACCUUAGAAGCUAAUUUGUAUAUGAUAGAUAUGAAGGACUUUGAUGUAAUUUUGGGCAUGGAUUGGUUAGGAUGUAAUCAUGCGACCAUUCGUUGUAGAGAAAGGAAAGUGUCUUUUCAAAAAUCAGGAGAAGAACAAUUUUCUUUCCUCGGAAUAAAGACCAAACCCCAUCUCCAACUGGUUUGGGCCUUACAAGCUAAAAAAAUGUUGAGAAAAGAAACAUCUCAAGGGUUUCUAGUUAAUAUCUUUCGAGAAAAACUGGCAACGAUAAAGAUUGAGGAUGUACCAGUGGUACGAGAAUUUAUAGAUGUGUUUCCAGAAGAUCUGCUUAGUAUACCACCAGAUAGACAAGUGGAAUUCACAACAGAUCUGGUUCUCGGAGCGGCGCCAGUAUCUAAAGCCCCAUACAGAAUGGGCCCAAAGGAACUUCAGGGGUAAAAAUCCAGUUACAAGAAUUAUUAGACCUUGGUUUUAUUCGACCAAGUGUAUUACCAUGGGGCGUACUAGUAUUGUUUGUAAAGAAGAAAGAUGGAAGUAUGAGGAUGUGUAUCGACUAUCGGGAGUUGAACCGUUUGACCAUCAAGAAUAGGUAUCCUCUCCCUAGAAUUGAGGAUUUGUUUGAUCAAUUAAAAGGGGCUAAGGAAUUUUCUAAGAUCGAUUUACAAUCUGGAUAUCAUCAAUUGAAGGUUAAGGCAAAUGAUAUACCUAAGACAACUUUCAGAACUCGUUAUGGACAUUACGAGUUCACAGUUAUGCCAUUCGGAUUGACAAAUGCUAUGGUAGUAUUCAUGGAUCUGAUGAAUCGAGUAUUUCAUCAGUAUUUGGAACAAUUUGUUAUAGUCUUCAUUGACGACAUUUUGAUAUACUCCAAGAGUAAAAAUCAACAUGAGGAACAUCUUAGAAUAGCGUUAGAGAUACUACGCAAGGAAAAGUUAUACGCCAAAUUCAAAAAGUGCGAAUUUCGAUUUGAACGAGUUGAAUUUCUCGGUCAUGUAGUUAUUGCCCAAGGAAUUGAAGUGGACCCAAUAAAGAUGGAAGCAGUAACUAAUUGGAAGACAUCGACUAAUGCUGGUGAAGUUUGAAGUUUUCUAGGAUUGGCUGGGUACUAUCGAAGAUUUAUAGAGGGAUUCUCCAAAAUAGCUGGACCAAUGACACAAUUGAUAAGGAAAGGAGUAAAGUUUCAAUGGACAGAUAAGUGUGAGCAAAGCUUUCAAGAGCUAAAACAACGAUUGAUCACAGCACCUGUAUUAACCAUACCUAAAGGUUCAGAAGGAUUUAUUAUAUAUAGUAAUGCAUCUAAGCAAGGUUUGGGAUGUAUACUGAUGCAGUAUGGAAAAGUAAUUGCCUAUGCUUCAAGGCAAUUGAAGCAACAUGAGCACAACUACCCGACGCAUGAUCUAGAACUUGCGGUAGUGGUUCAUGCAUUAAAGAUAUGACGCCAUUACUUAUAUGGAGGGAAGUGCGAUAUUUAUAUGGAUCAUAAGAGUCUCAAAUAUUUCUUCACACAAAAGGAAUUGAAUAUGAGACAGAGAUGAUGGUUGAAGCUCGUGAAAGAUUAUGAUUGCACUAUUCAUUAUCAUCCAGGUAAGGCUAAUGUUGUUGCUGAUACUCUAAACAGAAAGUCGAUGGGACAGUUGGCAUCAUUGCCUACUAUUUCGAUAUUUCGAUGAAGUUGAUCAAAGACUUGGAAAAGUUGCAAAUUGAACUGAUUACCACACCAGAACAAGUCACUGCUCAUUUAACAACUUUGGUGGUUCGACCUACUCUUAGAGAUCGGAUCAUAGAAGCACAGGAUAAAUACCCAUUCUUGUAGAAGAUCAAGAACGAGAUUGGUACUGAGAAGAGAAAGGAUUUUGGAAUAGCUUCGGAUCAGGCACUAAUAUUUAAAGGAAGAAUUUGUGUGCCAAAUAAUGAAGUUUUGAGGAAGGAGAUAUUGGAGGAGGCUCAUUCCACCCCGUACGCCUCACAUGCUGGUGGUAUAAAAAUGUAUCGAGACCUUCGAAAUACAUUUUGAUUGAGGAAUAUAAAAAGAAGUAUAGGUUCAUUUGUGGCAAAAUGCAUAGUAUGCCAACAAGUUAAAGCGAAAUAUCAAAGACCAGCAGGAUUAUUAAAUCCAUUAGACAUACCUGAAUGGAAGUAAGAGAAUAUCGCAAUGGACUUUGUGGUAGGAUUUCCAAGGUCAGCAAGAGGACAGAAUGCUAUAUGGGUAAUAGUGGAUUGUCUAACAAAGUCCGCUUAUUUUCUUCCAGUAAAAAUGACAUUCAGUCUAGAUCAGCUGGCGCAGUUGUACAUUAGAGAGAUUGUAAGAUUUCAUGGUGUCCCUGUGUCCAUUGUAUCUGAUAGAGAUCCGAGAUUUACGUCAAAAUUUUGGAAGAGCUUACAAGUAGCUAUGGGAACGAAAUUGAAUUUCAGUACAACAUAUCACCCUCAAUCUGAUGGUCAGUCUGAAAUGACCAUUCAAACUUUGGAAGAUAUGCUAAGGGCUUGUGUUCUGGAUCUAGGAGGCAGUUCGGAAUCGUAUAUACCUCUGGUAGAAUUUGCAUUUAAUAAUAGUUUCCAAGCAACUAUUGGAAUGACACCGUAUGAAGCUCUCUAUGGUAGAAAAUGCAUAUCACCAAUUCAUUGGGACGAAGUCGGAGAAAAGAGAGUUUUGGGACCAGAGAUUAUUGAAAGAACAGUUGAAGUCAUUGAUAAGAUCCGUACCAGGAUAAAGGUCGCGCAAGAUAGACAAAAGAGCUAUGCAGAUACUAGGAGAAAACACUUGGAAUUUGAAGUUGGAGAGAAAGUCUUUUUAAAGGUGGCACCAAUAAAGGGUGUACCUAGGUUCGGCAAGAAAGGCAAACUACGACCUCGUUAUAUCAGACCUUUUGAAAUACUUGACAGGGUUGGAAAUGUGGCUUCUCGAUUGGCGUUGCCACCUGAACUAUCGGCAGUUCACAAUGUGUUUCAUGUAUCGAUAAUCAGAAAGUAUAUGCAUGAUCCUGAUCAUGUGGUCAACUACCAAUUCUUGGAAGUACAAAAGGACUUAUCUUAUGAGGAAUUACCGAUCAAGUUACUAGAUCGAAAGGUACAUAAAUUACGGAACAAGGAGAUUCAACUGGUCAAGUUAUAAUAGAAUAAUCAUGGAGUAGAAGAAGCUACUUGGGAAAGAGAAGAAGAAGUUAAAGACAAAUAUUCAACACUCUUUGUCCAACCAUAAGGUAAAUUUUGAGGACGAAAUUUUAUUUAAAGUGUAAGGGUUGUAGUAGCCAAGAAAAAUAAAAUGGAAUUAUGCUAAUAUUUUGUGAUGAUCUAGCACCACGAGCCUAAACCAUUUUAGAAACGACCUAUGGAAGUUCAACUUAUGUAAGAUUACAAAAGCCUAAGUCAUAAGUUAAUUAAAAGCCCAGCAAUUUAAGAAAUUAAUUUUAAGUAAAAUUGAUUACAAAGAUUUAAUGAAUAACUGGGUUGUCCAAUGGUCAUCUACAUGAUAUUUCAUAUAGGCAACCUAGGUUCGAAUCACCAUGUAGAUGUUUUUUAUAAAACUUUCAUAUGAAUUAUUUUUAUGACUUAGAAACUCUUCAAAUUUUUAGUUAAAGACUAAAUUUAAUAAAUUUAAUGUUAAUACAACUCCCCACUUAAUUUUUCAUUAAAAAGAAAUAUUAUAGAAGUGGAAGGUCAUUUUUUCACUACACUCCUCUUCAAAUCCGAAUUUUAUCUCAUUUUCUCUCAAAAAAAUAUAUUUCAUAUCAAAUUAAGCUUAAGGAAUAACAAGGGUGAGAAGAAGGAAGGCUUUCUAUACAUUUUGUUCUUUUAUCCAAAAAAAUUCAAGGUAGGUAGAGGUGCAAGUGUUCAUUCGUUUUCAAAUUUGAUUUUUCGAUAAAUAUUUAAAUGAAAUGGUAUCUUCAGGUACGGUGCUUUGGCACUACAACAGUUUGAAUGAUCAUUCUCCGGCUCUAUGUGUUAUGAUAAUGCUAUAGUAAUUGGAUUUUGUCGAAAAUUUAUCUACGUGCGACGGUAUGAAUCUAUAGUUCGAAAUUUCUAAUUUGAUAACGAAUUGCACCGAUGAUAUCUAUUGAGUUUCAAACUUAUGGUUUAAUUCCCUUCCUACAGAUUGAAUGGAUUUUCCUUGGGGCGUAGAUGAUGGUAAAGGAUGAUGCAACAUGUCAUGGAGAAGCCGGUGAUUUACAUCUUUAGUUGAUUUUGAGAUGUUUACACUUUCUUUAAAUUUGAUUUCUAUGAAUAUUGUGUGGAUCUAUUUUAUGAACACUCGUUAUGAAUAAACUAUGUUUGAAAGUAGAUAUGCGUCAUAGGAAUAAAUUUACAAAUCAUCGUAUACAAAAAAAAAAGUUAGCGACUUAAAAUUUUGAUGUCUCUCCAAAAAUUUCAGUUUCUGCCUCAUCUUUAAAAAAAUCAUAACACUUUCGUUACUUGGUAUUUUAUAUGAAACCAAUUGGAUUGAAUAGCCUAAUAAGUUAGAUACUGAAUAAAAUUGGAAUCAUGUCAAUCCAAUAUCGGUAAAAGGUUAUAUGUCACAUAAAGUAAACUGUGCUGGGUGCUGUCUCUGUUUUUCAGCUUCUGCCAUUGGUUUCAAAAAUUUAUAACUCACUCAUUACUAAAAAUUUUUGGAUGAAACCAAUUGGAUUUGAUAGUCUUAUGGAUUAGCUACUGAAUAAAUCUGAAAUCAUGUGUUUUUGACGUCGGUGGAAUUUUAUAUGUCAUUUUAAGUGAACUGCACCGGUUUACCUUUCAACCGGGUCAUUGCUGAGUUUUGAAAAAUAUUUUAAUACCCCAUAUGAUGUCGACGGAAGUUAGUUUUUGGCUAUGUCAUAUUAUAAGGAGUUUAAUACCUCACGUUAAAAUUUGAUGAAGUUUCAAGGUUGAUAGCUAUGAAAACAAAUUUAUUUUGAUAAUUACUGUUUGAAAAAAAAUGGAACUGCAACAUUACUUUUUAAAUUUUGCCAAAAUUUCACGUCAAUAGUCAUUGCAUGCAUGGAACCCAUUCUAAAAAUAUUUUUGAAAUUGUAUUAUUUUAGAAUUGGAUUAUUGUUUAAAUAAAAAAAAAUCUUUAAUUAAAUUCUAAAAUUUUAUCUUUAUACCUUCUACUAAAAAUAUAUUGAACUAACUUUACGGCUAAGGUACAAUGGUUUGAGUGACGUUUUCGUCUAUGCGGGUCGGGGCGUUACACGAACUGAAUGCUUGUUGUAUUAGCUGGGAAGCUUUCGAGUAUCUUGAUACAUAAACAAACACAAAACCUGUGUUGCUCGGACUCUUCAUUUUGGCCGAAGUAUCCAUGUCGACACGACACAGGUACACGAAUGAAAUAUGCAGCGGACACGGCGCUGUUCAACCGGACAUGACAAGGUUUUCCCUUCUUCUUCUUUCUUUUUUUCUCUCCCUGUUCUUCUUUCCCCUUUUUGCUCUCCGGAUGAAAGAGUGAGGUCCUGCAGUGUCGUAACCAGAGAAGAGGAAGUCUCGGGCGGCUCAACCCGAGAAGGCGAAGCGGCUGCAGUAGGUAGAGCCUCUAGAGCAGAGAGGAGGGAGAGAAUCGAAGAGAGAGAAAGCGAAUGGAAAAUAAUGACUUAAGUUAAUGACUGGAUUUUUAUUGGGCUUCUAGGUUAAUAAUAGACUUUUAUUUCUAUGCAUAUAGACAUGUAUUUAUGACUUUAUUUAGUCCAUUUAUUUUUUAUUUAUUGAAAUAAUAAUUUAAAAACAAUCAAAAUAUGUUAAAAAAAACUCUUAAACUUAAUAUUAAUUUUUGAAAGCAUAUAUUAUAACAAAAACUUAUUAUUUUAGUAUAAAUUUUAGAUAGUUUUAAGUGACAUGUUCUAUCUUUUAACAAUUUGUCGCAUAAUUAUUAUUUCACUUUUUAUACAAAUUUCUUCAGGAAAAAAAAUUGUUUGAGAAAUGUACCCAUGUAUCAGUGUCCAAAAUUUGUACUAUUUUUAGCCAUGUCUCCGUAUCAAAUAAAGGAUCCGACAUUUAGAUACGUACCCGUACCCGUACUCAAGUCCUAGCAUCAUAGCACAAAACUAUUAAAGGUUGAACUGAACAUGAUAAACUCAAGGGUCGGUGAGGGGGGGGGUUCUUUGGGGCACUAUAUCAUUUUAAAAUGGUUAAAAUUUCUUUAGCUGGUUCACACUUCUAGGAUUAUUGUUGAAGAAUGAGGUUAAGAGUUUCAUAUACUUAUAAUACACCGUCCUUCCUUGUCGUGCAUGUGGCUCAUAUAGAGUGAAACACAAGUUCUGGAUCAAAUGGGCCGAUGCUAGCCUGGAGCGACGAUAUCGGCCUUGCGCGGGUUUAAUUUACUAUUUGGUUGUUAGGGAUGCUGAACGGGUUGGGAUUGCAGGGGCAACGCCCCCACGGUACAGUACAGGGGUAUUUCCUGUACCGACCUUAAAGUCUCAUAUGAGUCCAGACUAGUGUUAGUAUAAAUAAUUUUUUGUAACCCUAUUCUUCACUACUUAAUAAUGAUAUCUCCGUUUCGCUCUCGUGGACGUAGGCACACCGCCGAAUCACGUAAAUUCUCAUGUUGAUUUUUUUUUUUUUCAUCGCUUUAAUAUUGCAUAUAAAAUCCAACAUUCCCAAUGUUGUUGCUACAUUUUCCUUUAUUCUAUGUACCAAGAUAAUUUCUUUUUGAUUCACAAAUUAAUUCUAUAAUUUUUCAUAUUAUCACCUUCAAUUGUCUUAUCUUUAUCUAGCAAUGAACCAAAGAAUCAAGAAAAAGGAUUUAUGCAGCCAUCUCAAAUUUAUUGUGAACACGACUUAGUUUUUUGUAAUCCUUAGAUUAGUUUCAACAAAAUUUUCUCCUAUUCGUAUGCGCUAUUUGUCUUUACAUUAAAGAGUACUGUAGUAUGUGUCUUACAGAAAGUGGGGUACGCAAAAAAUGCCUGUGUCACAAAGUUGGGCUCCCUAGUUACAAGCUCAUUUACUGGAUGAUGGGAGUUGUAGGAAAAUACUCGUAGAUAAGUAUUUCUGAGGAAGUUUUGUAUCCUGGUUUCCAUUAUAUUUUAACUAAUUCACAUUGUAUUUUAUGGAUGUUGAUGGCUAGAAAUCAUUUCACGUUCAAAAGGCAGCCUUGAGAUCAAUGCCAGAUAUAGUUGUAGAAACUCGAGGACGUAUGAUAAAUCAUCUACGCAAUUCUUUAUCAGCACAUCAGGAUGAACUUGCUGUUCUGAUACUUGAUGAAGCUGAUCGGCUUUUAGCACUGAAAUUCAUGAAUUGGUAUAUGUUUGAACAUCUUUUCUUUUUCUAUUAAGAGGAGUUAGUACUGUCGUUUCUCAUUGUAGAUAGAGGAACAAAUGCAACAAGUCUUUAUUUUGGCUUAAAAUUUUCAACUAUAACGUAGAGGAAAGGAAAUUCAGUUUCUUAGAUUUUUGUUUGGACCUUUCAGCAUUUUCAUUAUUUAAGAUAUUAAGAGGCAAAAGAGCGAAUUAAACACUUCCAAAGAGAAGAAAAUGGAAAUUUCAUUAUACUAUUUGGAAAGAAAAAGGAGAUUGUACCAUGACACACUUUUUUCUCAUCACUGUUUUAUGCAUAAUUUCUACCACAUUUGGAAAAUGAACUUCCUAGAGUUGAUAUCUAAAUAUGUUUUUUCCAUUAUGUAAAUUCGUUCAUUGAGUUCCAUCGAAAAAUUAAAGAGUGAUGUUGAUAAGUGACAGAAAAGCAAAUUUAACAAUGAACUUCCAGUCACUUAAACUUUUGGACUCCAGCUUUUCUCUAUACUCAUUUUGUGCUGGGGUUCACUAAUUCUGUUAGACUUAAUCGGAUUCAAUCUCUUUGGCGUGCCAGAUAUUAACUUACAGAAUUGCUUAUGCACAUGAAAGGAAUUUUUCCUGCUUAUACAGCUAAAUAUUAAGCAAUGGCAGUUGAUGCUACCAUAUUCCCUGCUACUAUUUCAUUUGUAUAAUGUGAAUUGGUUGAAAUUUUGAGAAGCAGCUGUCUAUGAGUUAGUAAAGAAGCUGAAGCCAGGUUUCUCUAUGCUACAGAUGGCUUAAUGUCAUAGCUUUUAUCGUUACAACUGAGGUAUCAAGGAGAAAGGAAGAAAAUUCCUAAUUAUAUGGGGUUCAUUGUCUCUUUGGGUUAGUCUAGGAUCUUAAGAGUAAAAAACUCAGUGUACCCUACAAAAUGCAGUAAAGGGCAUUUGACUGAAAUCUGUAUAGAAGGAUAAGAAAUAUUUGUAUCUGUUGAAGACUAUAAAAGUGCAAGAAAAAAUAAAAUUGUUUUUAUGUCCUGAGAAUUAGAAAGUUCAAUUAGCAAAGGUCAGCAAACUGUCCUGGCUGUAGCUGCUUUUGGCAUUUGAAAUUUCUUGAAUGUCAAGGAGGUCUCUUAAGUCAUACCCUUUCUUGUUUCUCUUGUCUACAAACUUUAAUAUUUUUAGCAUUUUUAAACUUUGUCAAUUCCUUUGAUGAUUCAAACUCAUUCUUUAAACUAGUUGAUUGUUCUCUUUUGUUUUGGUUAAGUUGUGUCCAAAACGAAGGCAGACUAUGCUGUUUUCUGCAACUAUGACUAAUGAAGUUGCUGAGUCGUCAAGCUAUCUUUGAACAAACCCUUGCGUCUCUCGGCCGAUCCAUCUGCAAAGCGACCAGCAACUUUGACUGGAGUAAGUCAUCUGUAGAUCCCUUUGCUGUUGGACCAGGGUACAUAUAUUAUGUUACAUGAUCUUUUGUAGAUCCCCAAAAAUUGUGCUCAUAUUAGCAUGUACAUUAUGUAUGCAGGUUUGUUCGAUUAAGACGGAUGCAUGAAGGAAAUAUUCUUCUUGCAUUAUGCCCCAAAACCUUUGCAUCCAAAGUGAUUAUUUUCAGCUUAUACCAAGCUCUUAAACAUAUAUAUAAUUUUCAUCAUGGCUAUUAUUAUGUCUAGUUAGGGCUCUUACUUAUCAAAAGGUCACUGAUGAAAAGUAGUCUGAUUUGGAUGCAUAGUUACAUUACAUUUUCAUUCUUGAGUUAGUUCGAAUGUUGACAUCUGCAAAAAUUACAGAAUUAUGAUGUGGGAGUUUUAAGUGCUGUGGAAGCCUUGUGCUUAACGGGGCAAGUCUUGUGUAAAUCCAGUUGUCUGAUCCUGCAUUGUGGCUCCUAGGCAAGGGUGGCCCGACCUUUGUUUAGCUUGGGCCUGCCCAAAUGGGUCUCUUUAUUUUUUUUGUCCCUUCAAAAAAGUGAACCGAUCAAAAUUUAGAAACUGUUUAACGAGCCUCUUGGAUGUACUGCACCUUGCAUUUUUUGCACAGCCUGUCCCAGGAGAAAAGUUCCUGCCGUGCCUGGUCCAUAGGCGGUCCUGUUGAGUUUGUUUUAUACUUCCAUGAAUGUCACAGGACUUGCAAUUUCUCAACAGCCUGGCCCUGGAGAAAAGUUCAGGCACCUGAAGAAGCUCCCAUUUACAUAAGCGAUGUAGUAGAACUAGAAGAUGGAGAGAGAGAGAGAGAGAGAGAGAGAGAGAGAGAGAGAGAGAGAGAGAGAAAAAAAUAUAAAGAGUGUGUUUAUUUUACAGACUCAAAGAAACGCAAAGAGAGAGAGAGAGAGAGAGAGAGAGACCAAAAUUAAUAUGGCGUGUUUGGUUACAAAGUGUUUGAUUUCCUUGGUACAUGUAGCAAUGGAUUCUAAGAACUGGAGAAAAAAGCCUUCAUGCAGCAGACUUAAAAUUUAUGGAGAAUAAAAUUUAGUAACAUGCACUUGUAAGGUAAUGAAAAAAUAAUUAUAAGUCUUUCUUAUUUCUUGCAUAUGUACAAUAUCUUCACUGAUCUUAACUUUCUUUGAGUUUCUUCCUUUUUAAAUAAAUUGGUCUAAACUGAUCGAGUCAAUGCUAUUUUAUGUUUCUAUUGGAAGUGGAACGAAACAGGCAGCACAUAGGUUGAAAAUUAUAUUUGUUUUAGCUUUUAAAAGCGGCGGAACUUCAUGGAAAUCUAACCCAGGCCCAGCGUCUAGAUGUAAGUCCUCAGCAUCAACGAUUUCAACUACAGAAUUCUGUUCUUUUAGCCAAGCAUGCUUUCUUAUUCACUUUCUGUUGCAUAGGCCUUGAAACUUUUCAGGAAGCAGGAAAUAGAUAUUCUUGACUGCGACAGAUGCUGCUGCUUGUGUAAAAAGAAAUAAUCUCAGUUUGUUUUGCUUAGUUAAUGAUGAUAGAGUUUUUAUGUUUCAUUUGAUCUUUCCAGCUGAAUAAUUCAACUCCUAUUUCCACUUCCAUAUCUCCAGGAAUCAUGCGACAUUGAUAUAGUUGUUGAAUUCUGUACAUUAGUUUGACUUGCUGGAUGAUUAAUAACUCUAUCAACAUUAUCUAUGUUUGCAUAUAAUGAUGCAUGUGUAUUUGAAUCAGCUUUUGCAAUUGGUUUAAUAGGAAUCUCAGGAAAGACAAAAUGGUUCUGGAAGUGAGGUGAUUAGUGCCGAACAAGCAGAGGAAAAGAGAAAGCAACAGAGAGAGGUGAUUCUCAUCCUGAAUUUAUACUAGUGUACAAAUUGAUUGCCAAAUAUAUCAAUAUGAAGAUGAUUGUUUUGGACAGAAAAAUUUGCCUAGGAAGUGAAGGAGGAAAUUGGAAGCUGCUAGAGAGAUGCUAGAAGAGGAAAAUGAUGCAUGUGUAUUUCCGUUUUCUUUUUUUCUUUUUUUUUUUUUUAUUCUUUUUGUACCAUGUUGAAUUAGUUUACAUUUUCUUAUAUUGAAAUUCAUAUCGUAUACAUCAAUGGUGCAAAGGGAUUUCAACGUAGCUUGUGAUGCAAAUAUUGGCUAAAUUAUUUCAUACAUAUACAAUAACGAUGGGGUAUUUUGCACAACUAUGUGUACGAAUUGAAUUAGAAUGCCAAUUAGGUUAUGCUGACUGUAUUGUCAUGUGGAGUCAUGAUAUUCCAUGUUCUGUAAUCCUGCUGUAACAUUUACACUUAAUGCCGUGCUCAUUUUUGAUGUGCGAAAUUAUAGCUUUCCCGAAGGUUACAUUUGAGUCACGAGAAUUAACAUUUGAAAUGAUUAGGGAGAAGAGAAAAAUAAGAAAGAAAGAAACGGUAUUUCUCUUAUUGAUGUGGCUUACUGUCGGACUAAAGCAGUGAAGGCUGUAGAUAUGAGUGCUAAAAAGCAGAAAAUCUCCAGCGUGGAGGUGGGAAGAAGCCCUCAUUCAAGAGCAAGUCAUGGUAUAAAAUCUCAUCAUGAUCUUUUAUCUGCUUCAGUUUUAUUUUUUAUGUUCUGCAUAUUAUUUGUUUAGCGUGGAGCAAAACCUUAAUUCAAUUCAACGAAGCCAUAUAUCUUAUCCUAAUGAUGGGCAGUUACAUGGAUCUUUCUCCCCUCUGCUGUAUCAAUGGCCAUAUCCAAACUUAAAUCUCAAACGCUAAAUAUCUUUUUUAUUUGUAACAUGGACGUACUUUUCUCUGACAAUAAGUAAAGACGGAAAUCUAAUAGAAUGUAACUUGGAAAAAAAAUAAAGACCUCGAACGUGUUGACAAGAAAGAUUACUUCAAAUUAACUUUUAAGCUUCCAAAAACAUGCUUUUUGACAUCUAGAAGUAAAUUUUAAGCUUCUCUUGUACAAGCGCACGUAGCUUCAUGCUGUAGCAACUAUUGCAUAGGUUUGUUGAAUUGCUUGGAGGAAUUUUGGGAGUACAUCCAGAGACUGGAUGCUUCAUGGCAUGAGUUUCGUUUAAUAUUACUAGUUGGGGGUAUGUUUAUACACCGUACAAUGACUGAUGAUUCAAUUUUCAAAACUUCACAGUUAGGUGGGUCUCAUGGUAGUCUAUUGAGAUUUUUUUUUUUUUAAUAACUAUAGGUGUCCAGACCAGCUCACGCGCACCUCGACUAAUCCCACGGGACCCCUAAAGCUUACAGUCGAGUACUCACCUCAAUUAUCCUGAGGGGACUCGAACUGAUGACCAUUGGGGAGCAAACUCAAUACUUGAUCACUGAGCUACCCCUCAAGGUUGGUAGUUUAUUGAGAUGUUAUCGGAACUGUUAAUCCAUAAAAUCCUUUGCCUCUAUUUUUCUAGCGUUUUGCCAUUUACAUAAUUCUAUGAGCUUUCACUGGAAUAUUGUCAUUGAAUUUAUGAAGAUGAAUCAUGAUCUCCACGUCUUGGGUUAACAUAUUUCUUUGGGUUCAAGUUCGUAUAUUGUCUAUUAUACUACACACACAAUCUAAAUGCUUGUUUCGUACUUGGACCAAUAAACCACAAGCAUUUCACGUUCUCUCUUUUUUUUUUUUUUUUUUUUUUUUUUUUUUUUUUUUUUUUUUUUUUUUAAAAAUUUUCUGUUUUUUUUUUUUUUUUUUUUUUUUUUUUUUUUUUUUUGGUUAAUUCUGAUCAGUUCAACAAAGCGAACAUGAAACUUCUUCGGAAAAGCAUAAUUGUCAAAGAUCUAAAGUACUUUAUGGAUUCAAGCACACUUUUUACUCCAGUGCUAAACCAGUUUAUUUUCUGUCAAAGCCUCAAUCACCGCAGCCCAAAUAGGCUUUUUUAUGUAAAACAUCUCCAAUAUCAUCAAUAUAUAUAUAUUUGUCGAAGGAUACAAACAAACAAGAAAAGCAGCACCCUACAUGAUUCCAAAACAGGUAUCAUUAAAUCAACAUGAACCAAUCAUGGGUAGAGUUUGUCUUGAAUCUUAUAUAAAAAUUAAUGGCACAUUUGGCAACGGGGAUUAUAUUUACUGGACAACAUUAAGAAAGAACAAUUUGUUCAUAAUAUUGUAAAGUCGAGUUGAUCCACUAUUGAGUACCAAACACACAAUAGAAGUGCCAAAUAGGCUUGUAUGAAUUAUGAUAAAAAUUGAUGUACAGUAGUGAAUGGUGUCAACUUUUGUUCAUUCCUGUCUAGUACCGUGCCUCAAUGAUGCCAAAUAUGCAUAUAAUAUAUACAAUAUUCUUUCUCUAAUUUCAUUGAUAUAUAUAUAGAUUACUGCUGCAAGUAACAAGUAUCCUAUGUUGGGCGGAGAAAUACUAAGAAAUGAUAAGGAUACCAAGAACUAAAGACAUUAAAAUAAGAUUCUUUUCUCCUUCGGUUAAUUAGCCACAAGAUUAAAAAUAAAUCCACGUUCACCAUCAUUAUUUAGUUCCACCAUGUUAGUUUGACUUUUUUUCUUGGUUCUCUAUUAUUGUAAAUUAUUAGCCUUUUCUGAUAGAUCUUAUUCUAGUCACAUGAAAGAAAUCCGAGAUAAACUCACCUAUAUCUGUGGCGGUGUAUAAUGUUUAAAAGGAUAAUGUUCCCAGCCACUAUCUGGUUCUUUGCGCUUCUCACCAACUGAACUGAUACAGAGUUGGGAACCUGACCUCGGCUGCUCGUCCAUUGACCUGGCCUGACCCAUAUUCAAGAACUGCCCGAAGCCUGUAGUGUCCCUAUUUCGCCCCUCCAUCAUCGACCUGGAGUUGAGAUCCAAACAAGUCCUGGGAGGCACAACCCCGUUUGAAGCAGUUGACCCUGUCAUGCUAAUCAUAAAUGAUGAUUGAGAUAAGGAAGGUGGUAGAGAUGAAGCACCGCCCACAAUCUGAGAGACUACUGGUGCUCCUCUGGAUUCCAUCAUGUAUGGAAUGGGACCACCAGGUCCAUACAUCAUGGAGGAUAAAGUCAUAGCAGGUGCAAGCCCAUUGUAACUGGUAGAAUGAGCAUAUGGAAGUGCAGAUACCAUCCCCAAAUUAAUGUCAAAUGAAAGUUCUGGAGUCGCAUGCAGAAACUGAGGAACGAAAUCUUUAUGCUUGAUCUCCACUCUUGAACCCAUAAUAGAUAUUGCAGAGUCAUCCAACUUUAUACCUCCAGCAGCAUUUAAGUUCUGAGAUAUCUUUCUUAAAUGGAUAUUAUCCGAAGAAUUGAAAAAAGAAGGGUCGCCAUUCAGAUCAAUAUUCGUUAACACUGGCCAUUUCGAUGAUGAAGCGGAAGAAUGGGACUGGUAUUGAUGGUCAUUUCUCACGGGAAAGAGCUGUCGCACAGUCAGCAAAUCUGAUUGAACAUCACCAGCUUCACUUGAAUGAUUAAGAUCCAACUCAAGAUGCUCUAAUCUUGAAUUUGCUUCCACUGAAAAUUUCCCAAAUGGACCAGAAGAUACUGGGACUAGUUUGUCUGGUAGAGGAUCUUCAGUUCUGUCGUCACCGUUUCCAGCUAGAUUCAGGUCAAUAUCAAGACAUCCAUGCCGCUGCUUUGAACUGCAACUGCUUCCCCCAGAGGAAAGAUCCUGGCCACCUUCAGGUAUUUGGCGAGGUGAUGCUGUUCGGAAAGCACUUGUUGCAGAGGAACCUUUCCAUCCAAGAUUUCCCUCAAACUGAAAUGGAGAAACAGGAAAUCCAGGAGCAGAAGCAGCCCUUGAAGCAGAAACAAUGGAGAUGGGGAUAGAAAUAACAUUCCCAGAACAAUUUGUAUCGUCUGAAUAAGCUUCAUUCAGAUCAAAGUUACAAGGGCUUUUCUCAGUACUGGCAGCUUCUUGAACAGCCUCAGUGACUUGAAAGAUUUGCAUAUCUUGUUCGCUAUUCAUCUGAUCAGCAUCUUGGUUCUUGGUGCUAGUUGCAGACUCUUUUGCAAGUGGUGAAAUUCCUGCAGACAGAUCACGAUCGAUUGCCACCUCCUUAGGCGAGCCCUCUCCAUUGCAUUGUUUUCCACUUAGAGAGGCUGAUAUAUCCGGCUCCUGCGUUUUACCGUCUGAAACUUUUUCAGAAUAACUGGAACUUCGUUCUGCAAAAUCUUUAGCUUCUCUUUCCACAUAUAUCUUACAAGCAACUUCUAGUGGAUCUAUAAUUUGGCAGGAUACAUGCGUGUUAAAUUCACCACCUUCUUUAGUUUUGGAUGCACUAGAGCUUCUGCAUUGAUUAGAACAUCUGACAUCAUCUAUAUCACCUUUUCCCUCAGUGUCAAUCGUCCUCACAUCAGCAGAAGCUGAGUCUUUCUGGCAGGAAUCUUUGUCUGCAUCAUUGGAAAUUUUUAGUAAAUUAGGUUGUGUCACAGAAUUCAAUGCAUCUGCAGCAUCAGAAUUUGAAGGAUAAGGUCGGUCUCCUAUUAGGUCAAGGUUUUCGAUAGAGACUGAUUUCUCGGGAGAAAAUCCAAUAUGUGGGGUCUGCUUUACAUCACUAGUCAACUGUAACUUGUGAAGAUCAGUCUGCCUGUCAAAAGCACCCUGUGUUGGAACAGCUGGAGUACAUGAUUCAACUGAACUAGUACCUGUUGAACCACAAACAGGAGGCUCCACUUUAUGGCACAGAUUUUUGUUUUCAGGCUUUGAGAAGGACGGCGAAAAAAUGUGUUUUAAAGGUCUAUCAUCCAUAACAGCAGCGUCCAAAUUUAUCUCAGAAGUAUGUGCAUUUUCAAGCUUGUCAGAUUGAAAUGCAUCAAAACCAGAGGAUGAGCACUCUACAGUUGAUUUUAGGCAUUUUUCUUCAUCAGAACUCUCUCGGGGAAGAACAUAUCCAGAAGAAUAUUCUGGCGACCAAAUAUUUCUCUUAACACGUGCAUUUAUUCCCACACCAUCAUCAUUUAAUGUUCCAACUCUAUCAACAUCCAGGGAAGAUGUAUCACCGUCUCGAUCUUUUCCCCACCUAUCUAACAGAGCUUGAGCUGUAUUUUGUAACUUGGAACUAUUGUGGCCAAGGAGAUCCUUAACAAUACUCCAAAUCUCAGAAGAAACUGAUUUCUGACCUUCCGUAUGCAGCUUUUCAAGUGCUAGCAGUAAAUGAGUAAUUUCUUCCACGAAGCCAACACUCGUGCCAUCACUCAAGUUUCGAACAUCCUUCAGCCACUUACUAAUAAAAUGGAGUCCGUCUAACUGAAUAAAAAGAUCGAGACACUCCUUGUUCUCAGUGGCAGCUAUAGUUCUUGCAACUGCAGACCACUGCCUUGUUGCAUCACUAACGCUCUUCGUAAUAGAAUACCCCUCUUUCUUGAUGACAGCCACAAGUUCCCUGACUCGAACAGGGGCUGUAAGCCCACUAUUUUUCUCUGACAAGCUGAAGAAGUCGUCAAGCGUCAUAAUUUUGCACUUACGCCUGCAAACAUUUAAAAACACUCUUUAUAAAGUCUAUUACAUUUUCAGGCAUCUUUGGUGCUGCUCCUGCAUAAAAUCAUAUUAAAAAGGUUAAAACACAGCUAUACAAAAUCUUAAUCAAUAAUCCAUUGAAAUGCAGGGAUCCAAUCUAAUAACAGAUGCAAAAUUAUGUAGAACAGAAAAGCAUGACAUCAAUGCCCGAUGUCAUUAUUCCCAGCGUGUAGGAAGAUACCAUAUUGACACAAUGAAAAAUACAAUAAGGUUGGAAGAUAACAACUCUCCUUAACAAGAAAAUUACGGAAGCAGAACAGGAAUUUUGUACCAUGGGUCGGAAGGAAUUAGAAACAAAGGGCAAUAUCAUCUUGUUUUAUAAAAAUUGCACUGCUUAUGAAAUGGCUAUGGUGAUGAGGCUUUUUUAUAAGUUUCCUCAACUCGUAAAAAAGUCAAAUGCCUGUUAGUCAUAUUAUUCCAAGGUACCAGAAAUGCAAGAAAUUCUCGUACAAGUGACUCCCUAAGAUGCAGCAGCGGUAAUCAUCUCAUACAAUCGACUUCCUAAGAUACAAUGCCUUUCGGUCUCCUUCUUCCUCCAAAUUCAAGAUCAUAGAAUUAAGAUGUGGAGUAUAAAAUACAAUGAUCUAGUGUCAUAUCUACCUGUGCAGUGGUACAAGAGAGCUAACUACAAGUAAUAUAUAAGCAUGUGCAUCACAAAAUAUCAAAGGGCUUUUCCCCCUGGUUUUAACAUGAUAAUAGGUAGCUAUCAGAAAUUCAGACAUAAUAAUUAAUACAUAUUUCACGUGAUGAAACAUACAUCAAACACACCCAAAACAAGAACUGUGAUUGAAUAACACUGUGUCAAAUAAAACCCAUCAAUUCACAGAGAAACCCGCUCGAAAAAUCAAAACACGACAAAUAAAUCUAGGGUCCCUACAGAAACAAAAUUAUUAACAAAAUAAACAUUUUCACCAGAGAAAAAUACGAAAACCCACAAAAGUCCUGACCUUUAAAAGAAACAAAAAGGCCACAUCAUGAACUGAAACUCUAAACAACUAUAUUCUUCAUUGUCAUUGAGGCAGCGUAUUACUGCGUAAAGGCAAGUCUAUAUGUAUCGUACAGGAACUGUAGAGAUUUCGCUAAAGAUUUGGUCAUUGAUGCAAACAACGCCGUAAAAACCUACAACAGUAUAAGAGAAAUUCAAACAAUAUUACAUAAUUGUGGCAAUCAAUAGAAUUUUUUUAUUUUUUUUUUUUACCUCUUUCGACAAUUGGAAAAAAAUCCUCGAAAUUCAAUCUCCAGUUCUUUAUCUAAGCCAAAUCAAAACCUCCAGUUUUUACUAUCUUUAAACCAUAGUUUCUUCUGCAGCAGAAAAGUUACAGCUGUUAAAAAAAAAAAAAUAUCACUUUUCUCGCUUCAACAAAUAAUCGUUGCUCCAUUGUUCAACAAGUCUGAAAUUCUCUGCCGUUGAAAAUUCCUUUUUUUCACUUUUCUGAAUUUUUAUUAUUUUUUAUUACUCACAGAAGGUUUGCUUGACGGCCUGUUUUAAGUGGCUAUUCAGCACGUGCCACAUAUGCGGAAAAGUAAAAGAAACCCAGAUUAUAUUAUAUGCAAGGAAAAUUCGAACAGAAUCGGAUUCAAAUAUGCUCGGACCCACGACCCGACCCUAAUCCCCAACUUCCAAAUCUUUCGGAAAGGGAAAAUAGAGCACUGGGUCCUCAAUUUUUAAGUAUUAUAUUAAUUAAAUCUCCAACGUUUUUGGGAGUUAAGUCCCAGUACUUUUUAAUUUAUAGUAUUUUGGUCUUUAAUAAUAAACAUUUUUGGUCCAUUUUGAAGUUAAAAAGCCAAUGUAUUACCAUUAUUGUUGCGUGUUGUCAUACUUGACCAACCUAUUUGAACCAAUGGCCCACUCAUGGCGAACCACGUGGCCCUCCAGCCGAGGUGGCAUAGAUCGCCGAGGUGGACUAUCGUCGAAACCCUUCAAGCCGAGGUCUACUAGCAAGGCCCUCUUUUACCGAGGCCUGUGAAUGUACCUGAGGUCCACAUGACGAUGCCUAUGACCCGAGGCCAUGAUGCUGAAACUGGUUGAAGGUAGCUGAAGCCCUCAAGUAGAAGUAUCGUAUGAAAUGGCCGACGCCCUGGAGCCGAUGCAGGAGCCUUCGAACAACAAGGGGGCAUCCUCCAUGGUCACUUCUCCCAAGAGAUCGCCCACACAAAGAUCUUAUUCGAAUGAUUAAUAGAACGUUUGUCAUAAGCAUAAAGGUCAAGUUUUGUCACUAGUAUGGAGGCUCUACACAAGUAAUAAAUGCGCAACAAGCUAGCAAGUCAAGCCUCAUACCUAGGAUAAGAUGUUUGAAUCAAAGAGAUGAGGUCACGUGCCACCUCAUCCAAGGGCUCCCAUUUCACAUGUAUCACUAUAAAUACUUCCCUUGUGUAACAUCAAAAGGCUAAUGCAAGAAUCAAUACAAAGAACUAUACUUUACUCAACUCUCUCUCAUUUACUUAUAAUAUACAAAUCGAGUUUAUACACAUUUACACAUACAUCGACGAACACCGGUUGGUAAUUAUUGUACAAUCGGAUCACGAACAACUCGCCGGAUUCCAAACCUCACCGUCCCACGUCGUUGGGCUACUCCCACGCCCUUUGAACCGCUCGUUUUAGACCGUUCACGUGUCUUAGCGUGUUGGACAUUCGCCCACGUGUGCGCGGGUGGGACCGGCAUCUAUUGGGAAUGCUUUUUGGGGUCAACAGAUUGGCGCCGUCUGUGGGAAACCAUACCAUAACCACGAGCAACCUUGUGGCAAAAGCUUACUGAAAGGACAUUUGGGCAAUCCCCCUUGAAAAAUGAUUUGUUCUUGGAAAAGAACAAGAGGAAGCCCCAUUACUUAGCGAAAUCUGAAAUCUGACAAGAGAAAAUGAGCUCCAAUGAAGAUACUCCCCCUAGGAGGGUAAAAGAAAACGCUAACGUGCCUCCUCAGCCCACUGCCCCAGUAGCUCGACAGAGACUCCACCACCACCAAAGAAAAUGUGGGAUGUGUGCGACGGCACGAUUAUCAAGAGAGAUGGCCGCCAUGGCAGCCAACAUGAGGGAUAUUGCUAGCUAAAAUUUGGCGAUGAGGGAGCUUAUGGCCCAAAUGCAGGGCUAGGGAGGCUUUCCCAUUCCUCCAUAUGCCCCCCAAGGGCACUACCAGCAAGAGGAUGAAGUCCAAAGUCAUAGAGCUGCUACGCCAGACUAUGGCCGAGGUGGAAGCCAAUUUGAAAGGGAAGUGGAAGUUGAUGUUUCCUCCAACUACGCUUCUGGCCGACCCACCGAGGUCCAAAUGAGCCAUGAUAAUUUCCCACCUCCGUAUGAGCAAGAUCCAAGACAUAGGAGGGCAGGAAGUGUUUUUGACAGAAUCAGCCCCGCCGAACCCAGGCUAAGGCAACAGCGGGCUCAACAGCCUUGGACAAGGCCGCCUCCUCCACCUAUAAUGCCCCAGCAGGCGGAAAGAAGGCAAGAAAAUGCCCUCCGUGUUGCUCCGCCUAGAAAUAGGCCAUAGAGGAGGGAGGAAGAGGCUAGGGAUCUCCCCGGGACCUCUCACCAACAACCGGGGCAUGAGGCUGAUGAGUACGACUCUGAUGAACAGCAGAGGUCCUGCGACUUGGACGAUGACGAUGAGAACCUACCAUUCUCAAGGGAACUAAGGAAUGCCCAGGUCCCGAGCCACUAUGUGAUGCCAAAAAUACCAAAGUAUGACGGAGGAGACGACUCGGAGAAGCAUUUGAAUGCUUAUAAAACUCACAUGAGCCUAAGGGGUGCCACCCCAGCCGUGAAGUGCAAAGCCUUCCAUUUAACGAUUAGUGGAGCAGCUAAAAUCUAGUAUAGUAGAUUGCCACCUAGAAGUAUUAGAAGCUGGCCUGAGUUCAAGACAACAUUCUUGAAGAGGUUCGCAGUGAGUAAAGAAGGAGAAGGCCCCAUCCAACGUUCCCAGGUUUCACGGGGUGCCUUUCUUCUUGGCACAGAAAGGGACACCGUGCGGUAGUAGUCUACUCCGCUAGACUACCUUCCGCCUUUUCUCGGUCGCGUCGGGACGAAAGAAAAUUUGAUUGCAAUUUUGUAGAAAGCUUACAAUUGAGAAUUUGAAUACAUUGAAAGUAAAUUGAACAUUGAUUGCUGAAAACUGAACAUUACAAUUGAUGAAAGCAGAAAAUUACAAAUGCUGGUGCAGGGGGCGGACACCAGUGAGCUUGAAAGAUUUUUGAAUGACUAAUACCCCCUAUAAUAGCAUUCUGAACAAAAACCCAAGUGACGGGAGUAGACGUUUAAAAGACGAGGAAUCAUACUAAUCUUUUACCAAUAUCAGAGCUAUUUUACAAUUAAAAUAACUAUUACAAUGAAACGAAAAUUACAACUCAAACUUGAAGUAAUAUUUACAAUGUGCGGCCGAAGUUGGGCAAACUGCGGCUGCGAUAGUGUCAAGGGGCUAAGUAAAGCUGCGGUCCUUGACAUUCUCCCCCAUUUGUUUUGGCGACGUCCUCGGUGCCAUCAAUGCAUGAUACUCUUCAAUUAAUGAUUUGAAGGCCCCGAGAUCUUUUUCUCUUUCCCAAGUAUUCUCCUCGCUGCUGCAUCCCAUCCAUUUGACCAAGUACUCCUGAUGAUCUUUUCUAGAAGCCCGAGUGAUUCGAUGGUCAAGAAUAGCUUCAGCAACCUUCUUUCCAGCUUUCUUCAGUUCAAAUACAAGUCGCUUUGGCUCAUUUCUAGAUGCGUCCUCCUUAUCCGAAAAGUAUGGCUUCAACACACUAACAUGAAGGACCUUGUGGAUUUUACACCAUGAAGGGAGUUCAACUCUGUAUGCAACUCUUCCAAUCCUCUUCACAAUGGGUAAUGGUCCAAUGUAUUUUGGUGACAACCUUGAGUCCUUCCCUCUUGUUGGCUUGUAAACAAUUCUGUCGAAAAGCUUAACCAUUACCAGAUCUCCAACAUUGAAUUCAAUAAAACGACGCUUUAGAUCUGCAGCCUUUUUAUACCGUUUUUGAGCUUUUUCAAGAUAACUCCGAGCAAUUUCAAGAUUUCGUUUCCACUCUUGAGAAAAGCUCUUUGCUUGAGGGGACUUGGUACUUCGUUCAAUAUCCACUGUAUGAGGGAGUAGCGGUUGCUGGCCAGUAACAAUCUCAAAAGGACUCUUAUUGGUGGAAGAGCUCUUUUGGGCAUUGAAGCAAAUUUGGGCCGCAUCCAAAAGUUUUACCCAGUUUUUCUGCGAAGUAGAGAUAAAGUGCCGAAGAUAUUCUUCUAGCAUAGAAUUGAAGCGCUUCCGUCUGUCCGUCAGAUUGUGGGUGAAAACUGGAACUCAUGCUCAAAGUUGAACCAAGAAGUUUGAACAACUCAGUCCAAAAUAUGCCAGUGAAACGAGGAUCUCGAUCACUGACGAUGUCCUUAGGCAGCCCCCAGUAUUUGACAAUAUGUUUGAAGAAGAGUUGAGCUGUCUCUUCCGCAGAUACAUACUUAGGCGCUGCAAUGAAAGUUGCAUAUUUUGAUAGACGGUCCACCACGACAAUGAUAGUGCCAAAAUCCUCAACUUUUGGCAACCCAAUAAUGUAGUCCAUCGAUACACUUUCAAAUGGCCGGGAUGGAACGGAAAGGGGCUCCAGCAAGCCCGCCUUUUUCUGAUGAUCUGCCUUAUCUUGCUGACAAAUAAGACAAGUUUUUACAUAUGUUGCAAUGUCAUCCCGCAUUUGAGGCCAGUAGUAUGCACGUUGUAGUAGUGCACAAGUGCGUUCCUCUCCGGGAUGCCCCGCCCAAAUUGUGUCAUGGCAUUCCGUGAUUAGUGAUUUCCUCAGAUCUCCACCCUUAGGAACAUAUAGACGGUCUCCCUUUGUCUUCACUAGUUCUCCAUCUAGCCAGAACUGUCGAGUUUUACCAUGCUUGAUGAGGUCGACCAAAUAUUGGGUAGCCGGGUCCUUCUCCAUAAGUGCCCGAAUUUGGUCUCUAGUGUUCGUGGAGACUGCGCUCCCUGAAAGAGCAGCUACAGAGCAGAUGGUAGCUAAAUCGGCCCGUCGACUAAGAGCAUCGGCAACAUGAUUACUAGAGCCGGGACGAUACUCUAACAUAAAAUUGAACUCCGAAAGGAAUUCCUGCCAACGAGCCUGUUUGCUCGACAGUUUUGGUUGGGACAUAAAGUGACUAACUGCAGUGUUAUCUGUCUUCACAAUAAAUGGAGACCCAAGCAGAUAGUGACGCCAUCCUCUGAGACAAUGGACAACUGCUAACAAUUCCUUUUCAUGUGCCGAGUAACGACGUUCUGUCUGGUUUAACUUUCGGCUCUCAUAUGCUACCGGAUGUCCUUCUUGCAUGAGGACUCCACCAAGGGCAAAAUCUGAAGCAUCUGUAUGAACUUCGAAUGGUUUAGCCAUAUCCGGUAAGGCUAAAACCGGGUUCGUCCACAUGGACUUCUUCAACCUUUCAAAAGCAGCUUGGCAUUGGGAUGACCAAUCCCAAUCCUUAUCCUUCUUUGUCAAUUCAGUAAGGGGCAGUGCAAUUUCUGAGUAGCCUUUCACAAAUCUUCGAUAGUAAUUGCAUAACCCAAGAAAUGAACGUACAUCAUGUACGGUUUUUGGUGAUUGCCAAUCUUUGAUGGUUGUAACCUUCUUCAAAUCCAUGCGAAUUUUNNNNNNNNNNNNNNNNNNNNNNNNNNNNNNNNNNNNNNNNNNNNNNNNNNNNNNNNNNNNNNNNNNNNNNNNNNNNNNNNNNNNNNNNNNNNNNNNNNNNNNNNNNNNNNNNNNNNNNNNNNNNNNNNNNNNNNNNNNNNNNNNNNNNNNNNNNNNNNNNNNNNNNNNNNNNNNNNNNNNNNNNNNNNNNNNNNNNNNNNNNNNNNNNNNNNNNNNNNNNNNNNNNNNNNNNNNNNNNNNNNNNNNNNNNNNNNNNNNNNNNNNNNNNNNNNNNNNNNNNNNNNNNNNNNNNNNNNNNNNNNNNNNNNNNNNNNNNNNNNNNNNNNNNNNNNNNNNNNNNNNNNNNNNNNNNNNNNNNNNNNNNNNNNNNNNNNNNNNNNNNNNNNNNNNNNNNNNNNNNNNNNNNNNNNNNNNNNNNNNNNNNNNNNNNNNNNNNNNNNNNNNNNNNNNNNNNNNNNNNNNNNNNNNNNNNNNNNNNNNNNNNNNNNNNNNNNNNNNNNNNNNNNNNNNNNNNNNNNNNNNNNNNNNNNNNNNNNNNNNNNNNNNNNNNNNNNNNNNNNNNNNNNNNNNNNNNNNNNNNNNNNNNNNNNNNNNNNNNNNNNNNNNNNNNNNNNNNNNNNNNNNNNNNNNNNNNNNNNNNNNNNNNNNNNNNNNNNNNNNNNNNNNNNNNNNNNNNNNNNNNNNNNNNNNNNNNNNNNNNNNNNNNNNNNNNNNNNNNNNNNNNNNNNNNNNNNNNNNNNNNNNNNNNNNNNNNNNNNNNNNNNNNNNNNNNNNNNNNNNNNNNNNNNNNNNNNNNNNNNNNNNNNNNNNNNNNNNNNNNNNNNNNNNNNNNNNNNNNNNNNNNNNNNNNNNNNNNNNNNNNNNNNNNNNNNNNNNNNNNNNNNNNNNNNNNNNNNNNNNNNNNNNNNNNNNNNNNNNNNNNNNNNNNNNNNNNNNNNNNNNNNNNNNNNNNNNNNNNNNNNNNNNNNNNNNNNNNNNNNNNNNNNNNNNNNNNNNNNNNNNNNNNNNNNNNNNNNNNNNNNNNNNNNNNNNNNNNNNNNNNNNNNNNNNNNNNNNNNNNNNNNNNNNNNNNNNNNNNNNNNNNNNNNNNNNNNNNNNNNNNNNNNNNNNNNNNNNNNNNNNNNNNNNNNNNNNNNNNNNNNNNNNNNNNNNNNNNNNNNNNNNNNNNNNNNNNNNNNNNNNNNNNNNNNNNNNNNNNNNNNNNNNNNNNNNNNNNNNNNNNNNNNNNNNNNNNNNNNNNNNNNNNNNNNNNNNNNNNNNNNNNNNNNNNNNNNNNNNNNNNNNNNNNNNNNNNNNNNNNNNNNNNNNNNNNNNNNNNNNNNNNNNNNNNNNNNNNNNNNNNNNNNNNNNNNNNNNNNNNNNNNNNNNNNNNNNNNNNNNNNNNNNNNNNNNNNNNNNNNNNNNNNNNNNNNNNNNNNNNNNNNNNNNNNNNNNNNNNNNNNNNNNNNNNNNNNNNNNNNNNNNNNNNNNNNNNNNNNNNNNNNNNNNNNNNNNNNNNNNNNNNNNNNNGGCAGUAGUCUGCUCCGCUAGACUACCUUCCGCCUUUUCUCGGUCGCGUCGGGACGAAAGAAAAUUUGAUUGCAAUUUUGUAGAAAGCUUACAAUUGAGAAUUUGAAUACAUUGAAAGUAAAUUGAACAUUGAUUGCUGAAAACUGAACAUUACAAUUGAUGAAAGCAGAAAAUUACAAAUGCUGGUGCAGGGGGCGGACACCAGUGAGCUUGAAAGAUUUUUGAAUGACUAAUACCCCCUAUAAUAGCAUUCUGAACAAAAACCCAAGUGACGGGAGUAGACGUUUAAAAGACGAGGAAUCAUACUAAUCUUUUACCAAUAUCAGAGCUAUUUUACAAUUAAAAUAACUAUUACAAUGAAACGAAAAUUACAACUCAAACUUGAAGUAAUAUUUACAAUGUGCGGCCGAAGUUGGGCAAACUGCGGCUGCGAUAGUGUCAAGGGGCUAAGUAAAGCUGCGAUCCUUGACACCAGGACAUGAGGCAAGCACAUGGGGAGUCCCUAAAGAGCUUCUUAUCACCCUUCACCAAUGAGAUGACGUACUGCGUACAAGUCAGCGGUCAAGAGGCACUACCCGCACUGAGGGGAGGUCUAAACAUGACUACCUUAUUCUGGAGAAAUGUGCAGAAUCAAGACCCCACCACCUAUGACGCCCUACUCGAAAUGAUGAGAAGGGAGAUCAUCAAUGAAGAAUUGAUUAAGCAUAGGAACAGGGCAAAUAGAGGCCUCUCGCCUCCACAAAGACGACGCGGUAGAGGCCCGGCCUCCCACCUGAUGCGCUACCAGAUGAACCAGGCAGGAAAUGAGAACUCUGGUCAAUCACUUGCCGCCACCACCACUUUGAAUGCGGUUCCCACCUUGGCAUAUGAAGAUGUCAAUCCCAAUAACUGACCCCCAUCAGAUGGGGGCUUAGGAGAUGCCCCGUAGGGGGAGAGGCCAAGGUCAAGGCUUUGGACCUAGAAAUAGGUCAAACCCAAACCCCCUAGGAUACUGUGUACACCACAGGUCCUACGGGCAUAACACAGCGAAUUGUAGAGACUAUGCACAACGUUCCCGACAGGAACCCAUUAGAGACAGACAUGAUUCGUCCCAGGCGAACAGGCCCCCGUCCAGGCACGACAACCAGCGUGGGCGUGAGGAGGUCGCUCCCCAUCAAAGGGAUGUAUCCCCACGGCGAAGGGAACAUGAUGCGAAGAGGCCCAGGGAAGGGCGUAGGCACCAAAGAAAUCGGCAAGCUAGAGAUGAAGCCCUAUCCACGAGGUGGACACCAUAUUUGGAGGGCCGUAUGUUGGAGGUAAAACAAGAAACGCCAAAAGGAACUACGCCCGGGAGGCUAAACACCCCCCUUUGACAAGCUACAUUGUGGGUAGCAGUUCCCGAAGAAACCAGGUUCCACCCAUUGUAUUUUCCCAGGAAGACGCAGAGAGAGUUCAUUACCCCCACUGCGAUGCACUUGUGGUGAAGGCUGUCAUAGCCAGGAAUGGGCUCAAACGAAUGUUAGUUGACAACGGCAGCUCAGUCAACAUUCUAUUCGGAUCCGCCUUUGAUAAAAUGAUAUUGGAUCAUCAGCUGACGCCCACCACCACUCCAUUGUACGGAUUUACCGGAGAUAGCAUCACUCCGAGAGGAAAGAUAACAUUAGCAGUAGAGAUGGGGGAAUCCCCACGAACAACGAUGAACUUCAUGGAGUUCCUCAUUGUUGACAGCAGGUCGGCCUACCAUGGGGUGUUGGGCAGACCAGCCCUAAAGGAACUGGGAGCAGUCACCUCCAUCCACCACCUGUGCAUGAGAUUUCCAACAGAAAAUGGGGUGACAACGGUGAGAGACGACCAAUGAGGCUCGAGAGAAUGCUCUCUAAGCUCCAUCAAGAAGGUAGAGCCCCGGGACAUCCAUGUAAUCAUAGCUGACGUGGUCAUGGCUGACGUCCUAGGUGAUGCUCCCACCGAACAAGAAGAUGUUCAUAUGAUCGAUGCACCACCUAAUUCAGAAGCGCUGGUCAUCGAUGAAAUUGACCCCCGCAUCAUAGAGCACGAGCCUCAGGCAUCUCCAGUAGAGGAACUUGAGAGCUUCUCGGUAGACCCCAGAGACCCAUCAAAGGUGUUGAAGGUAGGCAAAUGCCUAGCCAACAUUCUGAAGGAAAAGAUUAAGGAUUUCCUGAGCAAGAAUCUUGAUGUCUUUGUUUGGAAGGAUGAGGACAUGGUAGGCAUAGACCCCAAGGUCAGCUGCCACCACCUGGAAAUUGAUCCCAAGGUUGCCCCGUAUAGACAAAAAAGGAGAGCCCUCAAUCCUGAAAGGUAUGAGGCUCUAAAGGAAGAAGUUCAAAAGCUCAUCCAAAACGGCUUCAUCCGGGAGGCAACCUACCCUAGAUGGGUCUCCAACCCGGUUUUAGUAAAGAAAAACAAUGGCAAGUGGAGGGUGUGCAUUGACUUCACCAACCUCAAUAGAGCUUGCCUGAAAGACAGCUUUCCACUCCCAAUGAUUGACCAACUAGUGGACUCCACAGCUGGGCACGAGUUGUUGAGCUUCAUGGACGCGUACUCCGGCUACAGCCAAAUCUUCAUGCACCCGACCAAUGAAGAGCACUCCUCUUUCAUUACGAACCGAGGCCUCUAUUGUUAUAGAAUGAUGCCCUUCGGGUUAAAAAACGCCGAAGCAACCUACCAAUGACUCGUAAACAAGAUGUUUGUGGACCUCAUUGGCAAAACAAUGGAGGUCUACGUGAACGACAUGCUAGUAAAAAGUUUGGAGGCCGAGGACCACAUAAAGCACCUCAACAGCACUUUCCAAAUCCUAAGAAGAUAUAGGAUGAGACUCAACCCCCACAAGUGUGCCUUUGGGGUAGCCUCGGGCAAGUUCUUGGGGUACAUGAUCAACCAACGGGGAAUUGAGGCCAAUCGCGAGAUGAUUGAAGCUCUGUGCAAGAUGAGGUCUCCCCAAAAGCCAAAGGAGGUGCAAAGUCUUACCGGGCAAGUGGCCGCACUUAGCCGCUUCGUGUCCAAAGCUACGGACAAAUGCCUCCCAUUUUUCAAAGUACUGAAGGCUGGAAAGAAAUUUCAGUGGACCGAGGAAUGUGAAGAGGCCUUCCAAUGCUUGAAAAGGCACUUGGGGCAAGCCCCCCUCCUCUCCAAACCUAAGCCCGAUGAUACCCUACAACUAUAUUUGGCCGUCUCCAAUGAGGCCAUCAGCUCGGUUCUAAUACGGGAAGAAGGGUCUACCCAACUCCUCGUAUACUACACAAGUAAAGCGUUCCUAUCGCCAAAAACCCGUUACCCCAAUAUGGAGAAGCUCGUUUUUGCUUUGAUCACGGCUUCUAGGAAAUUGAGACCCUACUUCCAAGCUCACACCAUCCAUGUACUGACAAAUUUUUCCCUGAGGCAGGUACUCCAAAAGCCAGACGCUUCAGGAAGGUUAUUGAAAUGGGCAGUAGAACUGAGUGAAUUUGACCUUGUAUUCAAGGCUAGGGCAGCCAAAAAAGGGCAAGUCUUAGUUGACUUUGUGGCUGAAUUCACCAACCUACCUGAGGUGGAUGAAAUCAUGGAACCUGUCGAACCCCCCACGUGGAAUCUUUUCGUUGAUAGGUCAGUUGGGGAUGUUGGCUCCGGCGCUGGCAUUGUCCUCAUCAGCUCCGAAGGCCACAAGCUCACCUCGGCGGUGAGGUUCGGAUUCAAAGCUACCAAUAACGCAGUAGAAUAUGAGGCACGUCUUGUGGGCCUCAGGCUGGCCACCGAAAUGCAAGUAAAGAGGCUACUCAUCAGUAGUGACUUCCAGCUGGUUGUUAGCCAAGUCAAUGGUAACUUUUCAGCCAAAGACAAAACGAUGGCCUCCUACCUGAAAAUGGUGAUGAAUCUCAUGCCAUCCUUUGAAAAGUUUGAGUUGAUCCAAAUCCCUCGCAUCGAAAAUAUGCAUGCUGAUCCACUAUCGAAGCUAGCUAGCAGCAAGGACUCAGAGCUACUCACAGUAGUACCUAUUGAGCACCUCCUCCUACCUUCGAUCGAGGCCCCAACUGUAAUGUGGGUCGCUGGGACUCCCACUUGGAUGCAACCAAUCGUAGCAUACCUCAAAGACCAGGCAUUGCCAACUAACAAGAAUGAGGCUUACAAGCUAAGAAGGAGGUCAGCCUACUUCCUCUUCAUUGAUGACGUUCUCUACAAGAGAAGCUUCUCCUCCCCACUCCUACGGUGCGUCGGAGGAGAACACGCUAACUACAUAUUGAGAGAAGUCCACGAGGGCGUAUGCGGCAACCACUCCGGAGGUCUAUCUCUGGCACAAAAAAUAUUGAAGCAGGGGUACUACUGGCCCACACUGAAGCGGGAUGCCUUCGAGUUUGUACGAAAAUGCGAUAAAUGCUAGCGCUUCUCUCCGGUGCAGCGACAACUAUCGCAGGAGCUGACCACCGUCUCUAGCCCCUGGCCUUUCUCAAAAUGGGGUAUGGAUCUCAUAGGUCCCCUACCUAAAGGUAGAGGAGGGGCAAGUUUUGCAAUUGUGGCUAUUGAUUACUUCACGAAGUGGGUCGAAGCCGAACCACUAGCAAAAAUCACUGAAGCCAACACCUCCAAGUUCUUAUGGAAAAAUAUUAUUUGCCGGUUCGGAAUCCCCCAUUCACUUGUCUCAGACAAUGGCAGACAGUUUGACAACAAGAAGGUUAGAGAAUUAUGCGAAGAGCUCGGCAUAAAGAAGCACUUCUCCACACCUCACCACCCACAAGCAAAUGGCCAAGUUGAGGCCGUGAACAAGACAAUCAAGCACGUCUUGAAAAGGAAGCUUGAUGUAUCAAAAGGGGCCUGGGUUGAUGAGCUGCCCCAAGUCCUUUGGGCGAUCCGAACCACCACCAGGACCCCAGCAGGAGAAACACCCUUCCUCAUGGCAUUCGGAACUGAGGCUAUGAGCCCCGUGGAGGUCGAACUUCCAUCCCCAAGACGUCUGCACUUCAGCGAUAUAACUAACGAUGAGCUUCGGAGGUUCGACCUCGACUUCAUCGAAGAAAGAAGAGAUGACUCCCAAUUGAAACUCGGCACAUAUCAGAGAAAGAUGACAAGGUAUUUCAACUCGAAAGUCAAGAAGAGGUCAUUCUGAAUCAACGACCUUGUACUUAGGAGGAUAUUUCUUUCCUCAAAAGAACCUGGUUUCGAUUCCGGCCCAAACUGGGAAAGUCCAUACAAGAUCAGAGAAGAAGUCCGACCUGGGACUUACUGGAUUGAAGACACGAACAGCAAGGCACAACCCCAUCCAUGGAACAUUGAACAGCUCAAAAUCUACUACCAAUAAAUGUACUAUCUUGUUGGACGACCUUUUCCAGCCUUUGUAACAUUUCUAGGGUUCAAUAAAAUUCAGUGAUUAAAUUAACGUGUUGCAAUACCUUGGAGGAAAGGCUCAUGUCCCACCUCUAAGCCACCUCGCUUGAACUCCGAGGCGCUAGCACAUGCCUCCCUUUGGCCAAAAUAAACAAAACGCUAAGGGGAGAAGCCUCAACAUGGCUGCACCAUCCACCGUGUCUGGGAUGCGUCGUAACCUCGGAGGAGAGGCUUGUGUCCCACCUCUGGGCCACCUCGCUUGAACUCCGAGACACUAGCACAUGCCUCCUUUUGACCAAAAUAAACAAAACGCAAAGGGGAGAAGCCUCAACAUGGCUGCACCAUCCACCGUGUCUGGAAUGCGUCGUCACCUUGGAGGAGAGGCUCGCGUCCCACCUUUGAGCCACCUCACUUGAACUUUGAGGCGCUAGCACAUACCUCCCUUUGGCUAGACAAAACGCCAAGGAAAGAAGCCACCUCACGUGCAAUUCUUUUUUUUGUUCCGAGGCUCAUUAUUUUCAAUUAUUCAUUUGCUUAAGUCCGAGGCUCAAACAGUUAUUAUGCUGAAGUAAAGAUCAUUUGCUUAAGUCCAAGGUUCAUUUGCUUAUCUGAGGUUCAAUCCAGUUGUUUAAAGUAAUUGAAGUUAAGGUACCAAGUUAGAGUUAUUUAGUUGGUGCUUCUGUCAACCUUUAAGUUCAUUUGCUUAAACGAGGCGCGCACACUUUGAUAAAGAAACAACAAUGAAUGAAAUAGGCAUUAUAUUGAUCUUCAAAAAGGAUUACAAAAGUGGGCCUUAGGCCAUUACAUUCGAAAAAUACUAAAAAGAAAACUAAUCUAAGCUUGAGUAGAUGGGGGAGGUGCUUCUGUGCUUGGGGCUUCGGCAGCUUGAGCAUCAGCAUUUGGUUCCCCUACAUCAGCAGCUUCAUUUCCCUGCACGUCCUCAGCAGGGUCUGAGGUACCUCAUCCACAAAUUCAGACCUAAGUUGAGUCAGAUCCAAAUUGGGAUACAGUUCCUCUGCCCGCUCCAUCACCUCAGCGUAGGCAAAGUUUCUCCAGUAUGUACUGAAGCUCUUAUAUUCGUCUGUGUUGUGGAAGUUGGCAACAUACUCCUGCACCGCCUCUUCCCUCGCCUGUUGGGCCUCCUCUCUGGCAUGGGACGCACCAUCCACAUACCACUUGACUUGGGUUUCCAAGAAAUGGUAAGCUUCUUGGGCACCCGUCAAAGAGAGAUUGGCCUUCUCCAGGGCCUCGGCGGUCACCUUCUGGUGCUCAUUGGAGACCUCCACCUUCUUUGUAAGGGAGGUCACCUCGCGCUGUGACUCGUGGACCUCCUUCUUCAAGGCCUCAAUCUGGGCCAAGGCAGACUCCAGCUUGGUCAUUUCUUCAAGUUUUUGGGCCCUUGCUUCUUCCACCUCGACCUUAGCCGCCUUCAACUCCUCUGCAAGGGAGGCCGUCUUCUCUCCCGAAGACCUGGUCCUUGUCUGAAAAUCACUCAGGGCCUCCCUGCAUUCAAGAGCGAGGCCAAAAGUUCUGAUGCUUUGGCUCAGCAACGCCCGCGUCAAGUUGGUAGCAUCGCAGGAGGAGGCAUGCAGCUGCCACCUGUCCGUCCAAAACCAAUAAAAGUUCUCUGUGGCGCUUCGGACCUCUUGUGGAAGAGCCUCGACCAAGGCUGGGGCUAAGGUCUCCUCCCUUCUAGCUAGGAAGCUUGGAGACUUCUCCUUUUCCCAAAUAGGCUUUUGUUUAGCUACCUCUUCCUCGGCAGCCUCAGCAACCCUCCUCGCAGCCUCCUCCCUGGCCUCCUCAGCCUCAGCUUCUCUGGCCAUUUCUAACUUGAUGGCUUUGGAGGCAGAUGCGAGCAGUUUUGGCUCGCUUGUUGAUUUGGCCUCGUAGGACACUGACGUCCCAAAUUUCCCGAACGAGCUAGUGACGUGCACCAGCUUCCUCCUCUUCACCUCCUCUGGGACUUUCUCUUUCCCCCGAAACUCCUUUGGCCUCUCCUGCCUCUGAGAAGCUCCCUCUUCAGAAGCCUUUGGAGUACUGUCCUUAGAAAAGCGUUCCACCUUGCCUCGGACCUCCUUGGCCCCGCUAGACCCCGGCUUCAAGGCCCUAGCCUUGGCGGUGGUGGUGGCUUUUAUAAUUGUAGCCAUGUCUGGAGCUGGGUACUCCCUCCUCUUGAAUUUAUCUGCACAAAAGCGUCAGGUCGGCACAUCAAUGUCCAAUAAAAAACACAAGGAAAUUUACAACUAUUGGAGCAUCGUACCUCUGGAAGCCAUUAGUCCAAAAUACAGAAAGUAGCGACUCCAGUCGAUCAGAUGGUCAAAGUGGCGGAGCUUCAGAGGCCUCUUAUAGAUGUCCUCUAUCACCUCGAACUCCUUCCUGCUGAGCUCGAACCUCAUACUACAAUCUGCAAUGGAACCCCCAACAGUUAGAAACUUUCAAAGUGUUCAAUUCAGAAUUACAAACCAAAAUUACAAGCAGGGGCUGGGAGACUCAUGAGCUUCGUAAUACUGGGUCGGCACUGUGCAAGAAAGGGACUUGUCCCCCUCCACUGCCUACCAUUUUCCCUGCACCCAGAACCAGGACUCCUUCUACCCCUUAAUGGAGGAAGGCAGCCCCACCACAAAGGGUGCGUGAGCCCCCCAAGGUAUAAGAUAAUACCACCCCCUGGACUCCUACCCAAUGAUCCAAGGCUGAAAAAGUGUCAUGAAUACAUGGAGAGGCAUGUCCUCCCCAAGUGACACCUCCUUCCACGGGAAGUAUGAGCCGACCAACUGGCUCCACCCAUUUGGCAGAACCUGGGUCGGUGACAACAUAAAAUUCCUCAACACCGCCCUAAAGAAGGGGUGCAGAGGAAGACGUUUACCUGCCUUAAAAUAGGUAUUUACUGACUGCCAUGCAUCCGGUCCUUGGAUAGUAGACCCGUUCAUUCGGCUCGGGGACUAGCAUCUCUAUGGUGUGGAUGACACUGUAUCUCUCCUUAAUCUCCCCUAACCUCUUCCACGUCAUACUUGAGGGCACCCUAGACGCCCCCCACUCUUCAGUAUAAUCUACUGGGUCCUCGGUCAUGGCAUAAUUAUCAGCCUCGACAUCCCCCCUCUGACUGACCUCGUAAUCUAACGACGCAACCGUCACCAGCUCCCUACCCGAGGUGAACUCCAUCUCACAGAAUAAACACAACAAAAAUAAGGUUUUUCUGCGAAUGAUACCUAAGGGAAGAACACUACGAACGGAGAUAAGCUGGAAUAUCAAAAACAGGCAGUCUUGAUGCCGGAAGAUUCAGGAAUUUGAGAGAGAAUCGAAUUGCAAAUUUUCAAAAGUCCUAAAAAAUGGGAUUUUCUUACCCUUUAUAGAGGUCUAGGACGAACCCCAACCGUUAGAUUGAAACUCAGUCAAUCUGAACCCUCCAUUGUAGAUCAAAUUCGAGGCGUUGAAUUCAAACGAUUUUUCUAACCUACGCUUCAGAUUCAAACGUGCCUCCCACGCACCCCAUCCAACGCUUCUGCUUCUAGAACCUCCAGCUGUCCUCAUAAUUGUGUUUUUAAUUCGACGGCAGUAGGCGCCUUGGAAGUCGGACGGACCAGCCACUUUUCCUCAAAAACAAGCACAAAACGUCAAAUCAUUGGCAUAGCUAUCGACGCACAAUCAUUACCAUGGAACCUCGGCUGAUGAAGCCAACAAGCCUUGUAGGUUCGGUUUCUCAACCGCCUCAGCUUCAACUUCAACUUUUAGCCAACAAAGCCUCGUAGGUUCGGUUUCCCAACCAUCUCAGCCUCACCUUCAACACAGCCUCGGCUCUUCACCAUUCACCCACAGCAGCACAUCUCUAACUCCAACAAUGAUAUAAAUAUCUAUACUUGGACUUAGGGAAUUAUUGUUGCGUGUUGUCAUACUUGGCCAACUUACCUGGGCCAAUGGCCCACCCAGGGCGAACCACGUGGCCCUCCAUCCGUGGUGGCAUAAAUCGUCGAGGUGGACUAUCACCGAAGCCCUUCAAGCCGAGGUCCACUAGUGAGGCCCUCUUUUACCGAGGCCUGUGAAUGUACCCAAGGUCCACAUGCCGAGGCCUAUGACCCGAAGCCAUGAUGUUGAAACUGGUUGAAGGUAGCUGAAGCCCUCAAGUGGAAGUAUCGUAUGAAAUGGCCAAUGCCCCAGAGCCGAUGCAGGAGCCUUCGAACCACAAGGGGGCAUCCUCCAUGGUCACUUCUCCCAAGAGAUCGCCCACACAAAGAUCUUAUUCGAAUGAUUGAUGGAACAUUUGUCAUAAGCAUAAAGGUCAAGUCUUGUCACUAGUAUGGAGGCUCUGCACAAGUAAUAAAUAAGCAGCAAGCUAGCAAGUCAAGCCCCAUACUUAGGACAAGAUGUUUGAAUCCAAGAGAUGAGGCCACGUGCCACCUCAUCCAAGGGCUCCCAUUUCAUAUGUAUGACUAUAAAUACUUCCCUUGUGUAACAUCAAAAGGCUAAUGCAAGAAUCAAUACAAAGAAUUACACUUUACUCAACUCUCUCUCUCAUUUACUUACAAUAUACAAAUCGAGUUUAUACACAUUUACACAUACAUCAACGAACACCGGUUGGUAAUUAUUGUACAAUCGGAUCACGAACAACUUGCCGGAUUCCAAACCUCAUCGUCCCGCGUCGUUGGGCUACUCCCACGCCCUUUGAACCGCUCGUUUUAGACCGUCCACGUGUCUUAGCGUGUUGGACAUUCGCCCACGUGUGCGCGGGUGGGACCGGCAUCUAUUGGCAACACUUUUUGGGAUCAACAAUUAUUGAGAAAAUAAACUUUUAAUUAUAGAAAAAAUAAUAAGAAGAAAAGACUUCCUGUCCUCAUCUUCCCACUCUCUUCCCUUCCUACCCCACCAACCUUAAACUACUGUUCGGGAUGGAGAAAUGGAGAGAAAGGCAAAGAACAGAAAACCAACGCAAUAUUGGAAGGAACUAGUAGGGUUUCGAGGAGAAACGUAAGAAUUUUGUAAGAACCUUCACAUUUUUUCUUCUAACUAUAAGCCAAAACAAAUCAAGCAUGUUUGGGAAAUAUCUACGAACGUUUCAAAGUAAUAAUAAAAUAAGUCAUGAAUAAGUGAGUAUUUGGAUCCUCAAAAUAUGUGAAUAAAAAGUGUUUUGAGAAAAUGAUCAAAUUUGUUUAUGGGACUUGGACAGGAGCAAAUUUGGCCGUCAACAUUCAAAAUUCUCUUGCUUAGUUGCUAUAUAUAUAUAUAUAUAUAGGAAAAUGAUCUAAUGAGUACCGGUGCUUAGUUUAUGUUAAGCACCGGUGACAUAGAACAACAAUUGAUUGGUGAAUAAGUUAAUGAUGGGUCCACAUGAAUUUAAUGAUUUACCAAUUAAAUGGUGUGUCAUGUCACCGGUGCUUAGCUUAUGUUAAGCACGUAACCCAAAGUUUCCAAACCGAUUACUUGAACAAGCAGAUGUAAUACAAACACCUUUAAAAAAAGAAAACCCAUGAUUUAAACAUCAAGAACGUGACGUCUUAUUCCGACCCUAAAUAGUUUUAUCCAUAUUCAAGAAAACUAAAACCUAGGUUUUGCACCUAAAAUAACAUGGCAGAAUGAGGAGGGUGAAAUGGCAUUCAAAAAUGUCACAUGAGCAUGCUGGAGAGCAAGCUCAGUCCACAAGGUGUUCAAAGCAGCAUCGACGUACGUUACAUCUAUGACAAGGCAGUAGCGUGUGUGUGAGACUCAAGGACUUGAAAAAGAGGUUUGAACUACUCUCUACCAGACAAAAACUCGUAUAUUCAUAAAAAGACCUCAGUCUAACUUGACCUGUCGUAGUACAAUCCUCCUAUGCAAUAGACAUUCAUACUAAAAAACGUCUACUUUUGUGGUUAUCAAGACGAUGAAAGACUCAAAAUCCCAUGGCACGUGAAGGGAUUAUACCUUUGGGUGUUGUAAACUCAGUCCUGACUACUUCAACAUGAAUCCUAUCAUUUGUGGGCAGCGGCUCUAGCAGGAAUUGAAACUCAUCCCAUCUCGGAUCUCUGCUUUUCUUCACAGGCUAUGGAGAAAAAAAAUAACAAAUGAGUAGCUUUUAGAAUUAAGGCACAAUACUCACAACCAAGAGCGUCCAUUACGACUAUAAAGGUUCAAGUUUCAAUGGUCGUUUGCUGAAAAGCUACUACCUUGAUAGCUCAAUAAUGUUCCUAUGAUUGUUUGCUCGUAUGUUUCUCAUGUCGAGUGCAUCAUAUUGGACAUGAAAAGUGUAAUAGAAGAAGCGAGGUCAAGAUUGAAUUUCCAUUUUAUGCAAGCUAUAGUUUACCUUAGUUCUCUUCGCCUCCCCUCUAAAGAGCAAGCGGACGUAUGGAUUUGUGUUGUGCUUCCCUUCUCGUGGAUAAUAACCGAUAUGGGACAGAGGGAAAGAGGGCAGGGAUGGACGACCGAUCCAUCAACAUUUUUAAAAAUUUUCAGUCAUAUAAAUUUAUUUUAAUAAGUAUUAUAUAGAUUAAAACACUAGUUUUUAUUUGCAAGAUAGACUCGGUGGUUUAGUCGUAAAAAUAGCAAUUUGUGGCCUUGGACAUUUGGGUUGAAAUCCGAGAAGUCACACUCUUAAUUUUUCAUUUUUUUUUGGGGAAAAUUUGCGCAAAUUAGUUCUUAAACUUUAUCAUCUACAGCAAAUAUAUAUCAACUUUUACAAAUGGACUUCUCAAUCCGCAAUCUUCAGUUCCAUAGCCCUUUUUACAGAAUUUCAUCAACAUCGUAUGCAUAUAAAAUCUAUCGUUCCACUAAUUUACAACUGAAAUGACUAAGCAGAUUAGAUUAACCAUAAACUAAAAUGGACAAAAUUGUAGUAAAGUCCUGGAUAUUUUUGGUUCAUAAUACCAUAGUGAAAUUAGUGGUUAUAUUUGGUUCAUAAUUUGUUUCGACUUGGUUGAAACUAAUCAAAAUUAGUCAUAAACAAAAGGCAUGGAAGACGAUGAAGAAUCUUCCAUUGGUCUCUCGCAUAGCUUUUUAAUCCGUAUUCUGUGUAUCUUCUUUAGUAAAGAAUAAAAGAGGGAAUUGCUUUAAAGAGUCAACAUAAAUAUGCACAUGAAAAUCUUGUAAGAAAAAUUCUCUACGGGAAUGAAUGCACGAUGGUUAAAAAUCCAUCAUAAAUUAAUUCUAGAACUCUCUGACCCCAACCAAAAAUCCAGACUCCGCCAUCAAUAAACCUCAAACCACUCGUCGUAAAAUGUCAAAUAUUCACGUGGCUUAAAUGCAAAGUAUAAGUUCAGGAAAAUAAGAUUUAAUAGGAAUGAUGGACUUGAGAUAUAUUAGAGACUACAGGAAAUUUAUUAUACUUCCAUCCAAUGAAUUCUAGUCUCACAAAAGAAUACAAGAAACAAAUUAAUUGAACCACUACGCUCCCCCUUCCCCACCUAGAAGAUUAAUAAAGAUUUACACAACCAAGAAAAAUAGAGACCAAAGUAGGAAAAUGAAAAACGAAAGAGAAUUUCUUUCAAGGGGAAAUUAGAAGAGUGCUUUUUACACCGAAUCAUGCAGUUUUCAUAUAUGUCACAGUGAUGUACAACACAAUCAAUGUGAGAACCUAAAACACUACAAAUCAGUCAUUUCGUACCUUUUUCUCCCACCCAAAGCCGGCUCCAUCCUGCAAUUGUAUGCACACCCUCCUUGUUAGGAGAAAUAUCGAAUUUUCACAACUUAAUGGGAUCGUAUUUCUCGCCCAUGGCACCACCUUUUUGUUUCUGAAAUUGAAUAUAACUCAAGGUGCUUGCAAAGAAAGCAUCUGAAGCUGGAUUUGAAGUACUACUAUCACUCUGCAUCUCGGUUUUUAUCAAUUCUAUAAGGCCCUGAAUAGCGGCGGUGGUUAUCUGAGGGCUUCCCUUCUCGAAGAAAUAAAGGUACCUGAAGCACAUUUACCAAGAAAACAACAUUUUUAAUCUUUAUAAAUACUGUCACAUUAAUAGUUUUUCAAUGCGGUCACAACAAUCGGAUCAACUAACUUGUUGAGUAUUUCAACGAAUAGUGUAACUGGUCCACUGCUACCCCUCGUAACGUUUACCAUCUGUUGAGCAGCAUUUGCAAUCCGUAAUGACCGCUUCAGGCAAAGUAAUACCCUGCAGUACAAGAAUGUUAUAAAUCAGGCUUUAAAUCUCUAGUGUAGAAAGAAGUGAUAAAUGAAAAAGAAAGUCAGAAAACAAGAUAAAGGACAGACAGAAUUAUGCAUCCACUCGCUGAUAAUGGGUGAUAUGGAGUACCCGAUAUAGCCCUAGACCCAAAAUCAACCUCAUUAAUUUCCCCUCUCCAACCACAAUCAAUCUUACGGUUGAGGCCCAAGGGAAUAAGUGUAAAAAAUGAUAGGAACCACGCAGUACAACAAAAGAAGACCAACAGAUUAUGUAAAAUUUUGAUCCAUGUGAUCCGUACAGCAAAAUCAUGACUGUUGCCUCAGAAUGAACCAUUAUCCAAUGCAUCUCAAUUGAAUAACUCAUUUUACAAGUCUAUGAAGCUAAUAAUAUAACUUAAAAAGAGUUUUAAUCAAUUUCCUAAACAUGUAUGCCUGGAGACUGGAGAUAACGCCAAUGAUUAUUUUCAGAAAGCUAACCUUUCUCCAUCUUUGAUGCCAUCCUGAUCAUCAACCCAGAAGAGAUGUGAACAUGCAUAAACUGCUCUGCACUGAUCAGGCUUCUUUAAGAGUUUUGCUGAAUACUGAACAGAAAAGAACAAUCAAGCUGGGAUGAAGGGUAAACAGGCUUUAUGAAGCAAGAUACUAAGAACAUUGAUAUACCCCUGUAGCUUUAUGAGUCAAGGUAUCUCGAUUUUCCACACCAAAUACAUUCAUCCUCUGCAGCGUCCCAAUUAUUAGGUGUAUAGCAGUCACCUGAGCUUUCGAAUCCUAAGAACAUAUAAUUUUAACAUAAAUAUUGAAGUUUAGAAAGUAGGCCCAUUCCAGUUCUAAGAAAAAAACUUGUAUAAGAUAUAGUAACUGAAUAAACUGAUUAUAUUUAAUAAGUACCGCAACUUCUUCCUCGUACAGUACAAAAGCUUGCGUGAAAAAUUCGUAAGCGACUGGUUCAAGAUCACAGUCAUUAGCUGCCUGUGGGUAAAAAUUGAAAAACCAAGUGAAAUCAAAUAUAAGUCUCCAUUUUGGAAGAAUUAUAAAUAGAUAGAAAUAAGUGGUUGUUACUACUUGUGGAUCCAUUGAAAUGUGUGGUCGAAAAUGGAGUUCAACCAUUUAUAAAUUAGCCAAACGGGUGGAUAAAUCAAUUUUUAGAUCAUCAAUUUUGAAGAAUAAUAAAUAGUGUAAUCAGCUAAUUUACACAUAUAAUGCCGGUGCUAGUGAAAUAUUUUGGUAUAAGCACAGGCACAAUGUUAUAUACAGAAUUAUUGGCGCCGGCAACAACAUUAAUUAUAUUUCUCAAUAAACUAUUACUCUUUUAUUAGUGUAUCUUAAAUAGUGUCCCUAAUCCAUUUUCACGGAGUACUGGGAUUUGUCAACAAAAUUUUACCUCAGCACAUUGCAAGUACAGUCUCAAUGCUAGUUCAGGUGCUGGAACAACUGAAAGAGCCUCGAUAAUCUGCAACGAUAAAAAUGGAUUUUUUCCAGUGUCAAGAGUAUGGCAAGAAAUUGAUUCAUGGAAUGAGGAUGGUUUUCCUGAGUAAAAUGAAAAGAUAGCAGAAAAUAUCACCCGCUAGUAUAAUCACUUAAAGAGGCAUACGAUGGAAAUGUCAGUUGCAGGUGUCAGAUAUUCUGCUUGUGCUAUGACAUAUUAUUCAACAUUAAUUCAACACCCAAAAUAGCAUGCAGGAGAUGAGCAAUCGGAACUUAGUCGAGCAAAUGGUAAUUGCUUUCAAUGAAUAAAACUGAAAACUUUUGGUCAAGAAAACUCUGAAGAAAGCCACUUGUUUUCAGUAAUGCAUCACCAACAGAGGCAGAUGAUUUUCAACCUAUAGGAGUUGUACAAGGUCAAGAUGUUCUCUCUACUUUUCACGAUUUAAAAUAAUAAUAAUAAUAAUAAUUAAAAUAAAAAUAAAAAUAAUAAAAAUAAAAUCACACUUCAGAAAGAGAGAGAAGCAUAAAGAGAAGAUCACAAGGUAUCCUAGAUAACCAAAAAUAUGAUUGAAUUGGCAAGCCAAUUGAGUACAAAUUAGAUUGAAGAUAAAGCAAUUGUAAAUUUUUAAGCUUUAUCACCUGAUUCAAGAGCUGAAAUAUUUUCUUUGGGGUGGCUGGAACUUCUUCUCCAGCUACAUCUCCAUCCUGACCGUGCAAUCUCCUGACCAACUAUCCAAAGGGAAGAGUGCGUCAAAUUAUUUAGGGAUGAGAGUUUACAUGGUUAUAAGCUAUAAUAUAGAGAUAUACAUCCAGUACAAAGUUGUUUCCCCUUUCCCGGGGAGAAAUGGACAUAACUGAUAAGUAAUAUGCUUUGAAGAGUGUCUCAUCAAUGUAAAGUGCUUUUCUAUAAACCCGUAGCUGGGGCACAAUAAACCCCAAGGGAUGUCACACGUCCAUGUAUCUCAAGACACAAUAAUAUGAAAUUCCUGAGAAGGUGGCCUGCUGAUGGUGACAUGAUUUAAAAGGUUUACUUUGAAAAUACAUUUAAUCACAAGUAAAAAAAGUAAACUUUAAAAUAAAUAAUAAUUUAUUGAAGAAUAUAAGAUGAGCAAGUAAUUCAUCUUGACAAUAAGGUGCGACUUUCAAAAAAUAGCUUUUUUACUUAAAAAAUAAGUUAUCCAAAGAUGUUUGGGAAUAAAAAUCUGCUUAAAAGUAACAUUGUUUUCAGGCUUAGCAAGAUUGAAAAGAUCAUAAUUUUGACUUGGAGCAGUGGAGGUGACUUGAGAUCGGAUCAAGGAUAGUAAGAUCCUAUUAAGCCCUCGUUUGAGCCUCAUUUUCUAAAAAUUUAUUUCUUUCCCCCAAACUCAUUUUUAACCACAUUCUCCCAAUAAAAUAAUUUUGCACAUAAAACCCAAACUUUUCCCUACUUUUUAAUAACAUUCUCCAAAAAAAUCACUAUUACAAAAUAUAUUUUUCCAAAAAAUAGGGCUCAAACAGAGCCUAAAUAAUAACAAUUUAAAUAUUAAAUAAAAUAGAAAAAGGUCCAAAAACAAAUUAUUUACUAGUUCGAUUAACCAAAAACAACCAACAAAAAAAUUCAACUACUUGUGAGGGUCAAUAAUAAUGUGUUUUUUCCCCAAAUUAGUGGGGUGAACAUAUGUUGGAGGCGAAACUUUGAGAGUCGAAUGCUAAAUUGCUAAUCUGGGAUUUGAGUUCAAGUUUACUUUUAUUGUUUGACAUUUUUUUAUUUUUUCUUUUCCACCUUUUGGAUUUGAACUUAUUCAAAACAAACUAGCUGCACUUUUAUGAAAAAACCAAAGCCCCUUAUCGGAUUUGAAUUGAUGACUUAUAGUUAUUAAACUCAACCCGGUUGAGGUACUGGGUCUUGGAUUACAUCCGUAGGUCAAUGCUUGAAAAUUAUAUAAUUUUUUUUAAGACAAAAUUAAGGUUUUAAAAUUAUUUAUUAUUUAUUAUUAAUUAUUAUAUAUUUUAAAAUUAUUUUGUUACAUAUUCAAUUCAUCUUAAUUAAAAUUAAUCUUUCCAUACAUAACAAGUCUAUAAAAUAAAUUAAAGUGUUGGAUUAAAAUUAUUUUCAAAAUAUUUUUGAAAAAUUAUAAAUCAUUAAUGAGAUACACAUAUAUGUUAUUGCACAAAAAUAACCAUAAACUAAUAUGUUCCAAUGGCUAGGUGGUCUUCAUCUAACCUCAAGGUCCAAGGUUCAAAUCUUGGUUUCAAAAAUCUUGAUGAUAAUUUUGAAAAUUGGUCAACCAGGCAGGCAGUUUGAAAUAAAAACCGCCGGUUAACUUGGUCAAACCCAAUUUUGACCGAGUCACUUGCAUUUCAAUCAAAUUAUUAUACUCGGCUUGGGUUGCCGGGUUUUCGGCCCAACCGGCCGGGUUUUAUAGCUAUGAAACUAGCCAUUAAUGAAAUAAAUAAAACCAGUGCCCUAACUCAAUUUAUUGCAUUUAAAAGAAAAUCACAGCCAAAGACUAUUAUUAUCUGAAUCGGUAGGAUCUUAUAAGAUUGUGAUUCGGAUAGUUUUGUUCAUUCCAGAUUGUAGGACCAUAUGAUCUUACGACACGGAUCGCAAUUCUAAUAACCUUGGCUACACAUGCUCAUGCAUUACCAAUAUGCUCAGCAUGAGCGCACCAAUUUUAAUGAAGCUCAUGCUUGCAUGUAUCCCAUGAUGCAUCCCUCAAUAUUUUUAUGCAAUAAGUUGAAAAUUGCACAUUGGCCAGAAAAGCUUAGGUUCAACUACAAUUAUUCCAGCAAAAUGACAUGGUAACAAUGAUUGAAUUCUUGGUGAGCCAUCUGAAGAAACAGGCAGACUCUUGGUGAGCCAUCAGAUUGUAGGACCAUAUGAUCUUACGACACGGAUCGCAAUUCUAAUAACCUUGGCUACACAUGCUCAUGCAUUACCAAUAUGCUCAGCAUGUGAGCACCAAUUUUAAUGAAGCUCAUGCUUGCAUGUAUCCCAUGAUGCAUCCCUCAAUAUUUUUAUGCAAUUAAGUUGAAAAUUGCACAUUGGCCAGAAAAGCUUAGGUUCAACUAUAAUUAUUCCAGCAAAAUGACAUGGUAACAAUGAUUGAAUUCUUGGUGAGCCAUCUGAAGAAACAGGCAGACUCUUGGUGAGCCAUCCGAAGAAACAGGCAGACUAUGCUUUACAGAUUACAUUACUACAAAAAUACAGAGAACCACGAUACUUUGAAAUUUCAACUUCAUGCAAUGAUCAUUCACAGAAGGUAUUUGCCCUUGCAAAUGAAAGCCAAUUUCAUCAAAGCAUGUGCUAGAUAACAAAUAGAACAAAGAAAAAAAAUAGAAAGGUCUUCCUCAGUUUUUGGAUCUAACCGACCGUUUAAAUGCAGCGUUGUGUUUUAUUUUGAAUGGAAUAACAAAAUUUAUGUAUCAUUGCAUCAGUGAUGCAUACAGCUAAAAACUGCAAGAGUAAGAAAAUGUCCUAAUUAUCAAUUAGUCACAAAUAUACAGGAGGCCCAAGUAAAAGCGAAAUACUGAAUGAUACUAAAUUCAUUAAUGCAACCACCCUCAUUUAAAUCCAGAAUACUUAUGAUCUAAAAUCGCGAAACAAUACAUGCAUUUCCAAUUGUGAAACGUACACACCUUGAGUGCAGAAAAAACAAGUGGAGGAACUGUAAAAGGCAAGCGUUUUGAACCUCCAGCCAUUAUAUAUUUCCACACGGUAUUCAUUAUCUGAUUGCAUAGAAAGAGGAGUAAAAAAAUAAAAAAUAAGAAGGAUAAAACAAGAGUGGAAAAACAACUCGGAAAGACAGUAAUUAAGGUGACUACAUUAUAUGAAGUAACUCCAUCAAUUAUAUACGAAUGCUACAAGAGGCAUAAACACUCGGAACUAUUUACAGUGCACCAAUAAUUUAAUUAACAAAGUACCACCAUGGUCUUCAAUCACCCUUUGACAACGGCACAGGUUAAGUUCAUUAGGUCAAACAAUAUUUCCCAUAAUGUACUGACAGUUAGAGUCUCAAAUGUAAAUUCUUAUGGAGCAGACAGUUGCUCAAGGCACAGUUUUCCUUCAGUUUUUACGAUUAACAAUUAUUCUAAUUUGGUUCUGGUAAAUUAAAUAUUCCAUCAGAUAUGUGAUUCACAACAUUCAUCAAUAUCAACAUUAAGGAGGAAAAAAUGAAAGUAAACUCGUGAUAGAGUUCAUCUCCUAAAAUUCAAACUAACACCAUAAAUCCAAGUCUCUGGUAAUGAUUAGGGUCAGAAAAUGUGCAUCCACUUUUCUGUUGGAAUGUAAGCUUGCAUAUUUCCAUUACCUGAAUAUUAGCAUCCAUGCAUGCAUAUUUUGAUGUCCUCAAAAUGAAAGUUAACAAAAAUUUACUUCCUGCUAUUUUUGCUUGCUAUAAUAGAUGAUAAUAGACUAGACUAGAUAGCAAGUAAUUUAUGCAUAAUAUUUCCUAUUGUUUUCCCAAUUGGAAAAUUUUGCUGUCAACUUCAAGAUGGAACUGGUAUGUUGUUCGGGAUUGGUUGGUUCCAGAAUGAUAGGAAGGAAGAAUUCACUGUACAUGCACAAAAACGCAACAUAAUAACAUCCAAGACGCGAAUAACAGCAGUACUUUGCCACUCCUUCCAAUUUAUUUUCACCGUAAUCCAGGAAAACAAGAAAGAAAUGCAGAACUAAAUACCCCAUACUUUACAUUUAUUUACUAGCAGUGUUACUAAACCAAUAGCCAAGGUAGCAAUGGGUAAUGAGAACAACAAAAGUAUUACACGUAACAAAAGUACUAGGCAACAGAAAAAUUACGUUUAACAUCUCUUCAGGGUCAUCAUUAUACAGCAUAUGCAUGAGUCGAGCAACAGAAUUUUGUUCCUCCUUGAAAUCCUCUUCAUCUAGCUACCGGACAAGUAAUCAUAUAACAAGAGAAAAGAUUAUUUGUUAGCCGGAUUGACCAACAUAUGAUGGAAAGGCUAAACAAAAAAAAUGAAUAAUUAACGAUUAAAUAAUCAAAAUAUUCAGAUUUUUAUGAAAAGCAAUAAAGCUAUGACUAAUGAAAAAUUUCAACGUACCUCAUCUGUAGAAGUUCCAUCCAUAUCCUUUAUAAGACCUUUGAUCAAUUCAAACAAAACCUCAACCUGCAAAGAGUAAUUAUAUCAUGUUUAUGUUGAGUAAAAAACAAAAUCACAUGUAAAGCCAAAGGAGACUCUACCUUGUCAGAAGUUGACACGCAAGUAUUGUUUUUCAUAAUGCUUUGGAUGAUAACUAUUGCCAUGACUUUAUUUGUUGCAGCAUCAAGGUGAUCCAUCACACGCGGAUAAUUAGAGAGUGUGAGAGCAGUGACAAUAUUAUUGUAUUUCUCUAAUGGAGUACUCAGAAGAGCAACAACUUGUUUCGUUGCUCUGCUAUCUUGAAGCUUUGCUUUUCCAGAUAACUUUUUGACACAUGCUCCCUGUCAAUGAUCAGAAGACAAGCAGUUAACGUGAGGAAUGACUAGAUUAUGACCUCAACAGGAAUGUGUGUUAAAUGACACAACAAUCUCUUUUUCUCCGAGUAGUGCGCUUGUGCAUGAUUAGUUCACAUGUUUGAAUGAACAUUUACAAGUGUGAAUUAACAGAAUGGCACUCUAAAAUUUCAAGUAAACGAUCCUCAAGGAGCUCAAUGGAUGAUUCCCAUACAUUACAUUCAGAUUCCACCAAAAAUUUCUGAGAUAAAAACAUUUGUCAAUAACUCAACAAAUAACAUACCAAAACUUGAUCCACGUAAUCCAGCCGAUCAGGAUGGACAUGGAGAGUGAAAGUCAGAAGAGAGACAUAUAAAGUAAUUGCUCCAACAAUGGGCAUGUCAACCUGUGCUUCGAUGACCUGAAUGCAAAAACGUCUUACUUUGAAAUUCAAAAGCAAAUGGUACUCUAAAUCAUUGUAUCACAUGUUCAAUAUGAUUAGGCGUACAAUUGCACUCAACCAUAAAAAGUAAUACAUGAAAUUUUAGGAUCUUGCCUGUUGGUAGAAGAAAACCAUUCAAAAUUGAAAGAGACAGGAACAUCCUGNNNNNNNNNNNNNNNNNNNNNNNNNNNNNNNNNNNNNNNNNNNNNNNNNNNNNNNNNNNNNNNNNNNNNNNNNNNNNAACUGAAAUUCGAUUUACCGAAACGCAAUAAAUUACCUUUCCAAUGGCAUUGCUCAACUUGGUAAACGCUUCAACUUGCAAGAAGUCAGGUAAGACCUAAAUAAGGGAAAGAAUAACAAUGAAUGAAACAAGGAAUCUAUUAGCAGGAGCGGUACAAAAGUAAAAGGACUCACUUCGGGACUUGAAGCAGCAUAGUUUGACAAUCUCUCCAUAAGUCGGGACAAUACCGUCUUGAUGUCAACUGCAGACUGAGAAACAAAAUGAUGCACCAUCAAAACAGCUACUCACCACAAAAUGCCUUGUAUUUAAGGUCCCAGGAAACUAAAGUAUGAAGCAAGGACAGAAUUAUUGAUGCACUAUGGUUAGUAUACUGCUCCUAAAAAAUAAUAAUAAUAUAAUAGUAAAACUUUAUGUUCACCUACUAACAGUUCUUUGACAUUAAGGACUGUGUAGGCUCUCCACAUAAAGUGCCUUACUACAUAUAAUGUUCACAGCACAACAGGUCAAAAAUACAGAUGGUGCUUCUCAACUUUCUACUUUAGAAAAUUGCUUAGAAUUACAACACAGAGAUGCACAGAUGCAUGGGCACCGAAAGCGAAAAAAGUUGCACGAAGGAAUUUUCUUCUCUGCCUUCUCCUCUCCAAAGGCCAAGGCAGAGACUGCAUCCCGAUCCUUCGGUAGCUCUUUUGCAAGAUCCGAAAGUGGAGAACACAUAGCAUUCUCUGAGCACAUAGGGUCAAAGGUAAAACAGCGCUCCCUUGCCAUCCCCCAAAAGAUACUCUCUGACUAUGGUGGCUUAUUAAUUAAUUCAGUCUUAUGAGGGAAAAUUUGUACUGUUAACCAAAGCACUAAUCUCUUCUAAGCCCUUCCCCGUGGGUCCUUCAAAGACCGUAUUCUUAGCAUCUAAUAUAUUGUAUUUUCUACAUCUCUAAAUAAUAUAUCUUUCAUGCCUUUGAAUCUAGGGAAUAUUAAAAGAGUCCGUUUGAAAGAAGAAAGCACUACUUCUUUGAAGUAAUGCAUAACAAAUUUCCGAAUACUGCAGGGGCCUAAACCAAUUUACUCACAGAUUUGAGUUUUUUUAUUUUUAUUUUUAUUUUUUAUUUUAAUCGCAUAUCACUUCUAGAAGAAGUCCAAGAACCCACAUGAAUUUAUUUCAAUAAAGAACUUGAAUUGUAAUAAUCAUCUGAGAAACACUUUAAGAAAAUACACGAGGCUGAAAGCGUAGUUGAUUCCCCAAUUAUGAUCAACACACUUGCAUUGUUGAAUGGCACCAUAUCAUAAAAGAUUAGAAUCUGCAUAACACUACCCUUUAUCAGGCCCAGGCAAAAAAAGGAGAGACUGUAGGAAUCUGAGCGUAAUAUUGUAAUUGAUUGGGCUGAUUUGAUUCUUUGUACCAUAUUUAGUUCUUUCCUUAGUUAGUUACACUAAUUAGAAAUCUUCUCUCAUCUCCUAAUUUAGGAGAUUGUUUUCCUUUCUUCUCACACACGUUUGUACUAUUAAUAUGGUUGUAUAUUCUUUUACAAUACAAGAAAAUAAUUUCUUUCCCUGUGGUAUCAGAGUGGGCUAUUCUAAGCCUAACAACCAAUGACGGAAGAUCCUGUCAACGGUAAAAGCUCCACGACAACUAAAUCAUCCCACAGUGAGACAGAAAUGAACUCUAAAAUGGGUUUUAUGGGAGUGGAAAAAACCUCUUUUCAGCUUUGGAUGAGAGUAAAUUUAGGGAGGGGCUCAGUCGGUUAAGUCGGUAAUUGAAGGGAAAGCUUGGUUACCUGACUGAAGGCAAAAAAGGCCUACAGAUUCCGUCCAAUCGCAGAGGCAGAAAUCAGAGAAUUCGAUGGUCACAACUUGGUGAAUGAAUUCUAUGCAACCAUCCAUAGGGAAAAUAUACAUUUUUCUCCUAAUCGCGAAGGAUGUUUGGGAUGCCGUCAAGGAGGUGUACUCAGAUCCUAAAAACCCAUACCAAAUAUUAGAAAUUAAAACCCGAUUGUGGCAAAUUAAACCAAGAGAGAGAGGUUACAGAGUAUUACUUGGAGAUGACGUCUCUAUGACAAGAACUCAAUCUUAGUUGCGAAGAAGAGUGAGAAUGCCUCGGAGACAACGUUAAGUAUAAGAAACAACUCGAGAAUGAACGAGUUUACGAGUUUCUUGUUGGCCUCAAUCAGACUUGGAAAAUGUUAGAGGCAGAAUAUUAGGUCGGCGGCCGCUACCUUCAACUAGGAAAGUGUUUGCUAAAAUGAGAGGAGAGGAAAAUCGCCAAAAAGUGAUGGUGUUGGAAGGGGCGAUCAAAGAAAUUGAUAUCGCAUUUCUGUCGAAGGGAACUGGAAUCGAGACAGGGGCUUAAUCAUCUCCUGGAAGUGGGCCAUCACAUUUUAGCCCAAAUAGAAAUGGUAUUGGGCUGUUAAAUGGAGGAACCAAAUCCAACAUCUUCAAAGUUUGGGAAUAGCUCAAGCCUAAGAUAACAAAAAAGACGUCUCUAGUGCGAACACUGCCGGAAACCAAGACACAAAGAGACACGUGUUGGGAUAUACGUAGAAAGCCUAUUGAUUGAAAACCAAGACAGAACAUUAAAAAUCGUAGCUAUCAAGCCUUGGUCGACCAAACUGAAAAAACCAAGAAAGUGAAAAAUGGAGCAUUCGACUCUGAGCAAUUAGAGCAACUCUAUCAAAUCUUUUCAAGUCUUCAAACAUCGAGUCAAUUGCUCACACACAGCCUUUUAAGCUCAUUAGCCCACAAAGAUAGUUUCCUAAAAACCUCAAAUAUUUCCUCAAGAUAUAAAAUUCAAUGGAUCAUUGACUCAAGUGCUUCCGAUCACAUGACGGAUGCUUACCAUAUGUUCAAUUCGUACUCACCCUGUGCUAGAAAUAUCAAAGUUAAGAUCGCUGACGGAUCACUCUCAUCUGUUGCGGAAAAGGGGUAUUCCUAUUUCCGAGUCUGUAACUCUAAAAUCUAUUCUUUCAUGUCCCAAAUAUAUCAUGCAAUUUAUUAUCUAUCAGUCAAUUAACAAAAGAGUCAAAUUGUUGUGUUAAUUUUACUCAAUCUCACCGUAUAUUUCAGGAUCUAUCAUCUAAGAAGAUGAUUGGAGGUGCCAAUGCGAAGGACUUCAUUACUUCGAAGAAGCUAAUGUAGGUAAACGUCAAACUAAAAUUUGUAAUUAUAGGUUUGUCUCUAGGGAUAAUUGUAUUCUAUAAUGGCAUUUAUAGAAUGGGCCAUCCAAACUUGUAAUAUUUUACGACAUAUAUUUCCUUCUAUUUUCUUGAAUAAAACAUCCUUUGACUUUCAAUGUGAAAUAUGUGAGCUUGCGAAACACCACCGCACUACUUUCCCAAAAUCCACAUACAAAUCAUCAAAGCAAUUCACCAUAAAUUCAUAGUAAUCAUCGAAAAAACUCUUGGAAGAAUUACAACUCAUAGGAAACCUUCCAAUCAAGCUCUAUUGUGAUUACAGCCAUAAACAUUUAUCUUAAUCAUGUUCAACAUGAUCGGACCAAACAUAUAGAAGUGAACAGGCGCUUCAUCAAAAAAAAAAAAAAAAGUAGUUGAACUCGAAGUUAUUUGCAUGACCUAUGUUCCUACUAAAGAGCAAACUGGCCAAAGGAUUACCCCAGCAAAGUUUCAAUGAUUUCAUUUGCAAGUUAAAGAUGGUCAACAUUUACCAUCCAACUUAAUGGGUAGUGUAGGAAUCCAAGUGUAGUACUGUAAUCGAUUGGGCUGAUUUAAUUAUUUGUUAGUUCUUUCCUUUGUUAGUUACACUAAUUAGGAAUCUUUUCUCAUCUCCUAAUUUAGGAGAUUGUUUUCCUUUAUCCUCUCUCGAGCUCGUAUUAUUAAUAGGGCUAUAUAUUAUUUUAUUCAAUACAAAAAAAUAAUUUCUUUCCACAGAAACAUUGUGUUAGAGGAAAAGAGAUCUCAUUAUAUAAUAGGCUACUCACUUGAAGUUGAGGGAAAGCUCCCAAUAAUGUCUCAAGGGUCUGCAAAUGAUACUCAUCUGGAAAGACCUGAAUUAUGCAGUCCAUCAAAUAAUAUUGGGCAAGUUCAUCCUUACAAUUAACAACCUGCCAGAAACCAUUCGAUUGCACAUUGUAAGAUCUUCAUAUCUUAAAGAUCAAGAUACACUGAAUCAGAUGGACAAACCUGCUCCAACACCUUGGGAAGAACAGUGUCUCUAUAGAUGUCAAGGUCAACACCUUCUAUUUGACUGAGAACAUGUAAAUUCUUCCCAACCUAAAACAUCAGAGGGACAUUAAAAUACCAUCUUUAUAAAACUUAAAAGGGAGUUAUAGAAUGACUAGAGAAAACUAACUGCUUUGAAGCAUUCGUAUUACAAGAUCACGCAGCUCAUUCCUUUCCUUAUCAAGUUUCUCUUUCUCUCUUAGAGACCCCUGCAGACCAGAAAGCCGGAAAGUCUCAACUCAGCAUCAUCAAAUCAUGAAUCUAUAUUAAUAUCCAUGUAAAUUCUUCCCAACCUAAAACAUCAGAGGGACAUUAAAAUACCAUCUUCUUUCUCUCUUAGAGACCCCUGCAGACCAGAAAGCCGGAAAGUCUCAACUCAGCAUCAUCAAAUCAUGAAUCUAUAUUAAUAUUACACCUGCAUGGCCAAAACAUGCCCUCAAGAUUUAUUUCACUUUUUUGGCAUGUAAGUUUUCAGAUGCCAUGCAUGUGAAAAAAAAGGUAGGACUAAAAUUUCAGAGAGAGAUCCAUAAAACCUGGUGCUGCAUUCGGACCCAAAGUUUAUUCAUCUCUGCAAAAUUUUGCAGCACAAAUUCUACAGCAUCCAUGAAAGUAUCACCUUCACUAGAAGGAGACCAAUGAAGUAACACAUCAGAAAAAUGUAACAAUUUACAACUUAACUGCAAUCAAUAUCAUGCAAUGAUUAAAACAUUUAACAAGUUAACGUGGCAAAAGAUAUAGAAUUAACAAUCAACAAUCAAGAACGGAUGGAAAUAUCUAAUAAUUACUUGUUGGAGAGGUUUUUUUUAUAUCAUUUUUUCCCUAAAUCAUUUUCAACCACACAUUCUAUAUGAAACCAUAACUUUUCCCUACUUUUAACCACAGAUUUUCCAGAAAUAUAAUUUUUAAUUGAAAAAAUAUCUCCCAAACGUCACAUAUGGAAAUUUCCAUUUAUUUUAAUUUCCUGGCAUACAAAGUUAGCAUGUGAAUGAAAAUUUGUAAACUUGUUGAUGACAAACACAAUCAAACAAGAACAAGGCUGACAAAGAAAGAGGAAGAGAGAGGAGAAAGAGAAGCUGGGGGAGGGAAAGAGAGAGGGAGACAAAUAAUAAAUAUUGAAUUCAUAAUCAAGUCUGCCAACAAAUGAAAUCGCAAGUCACAUUCACUGGGGAAAAAAUUAAACUCAAAUGAACUUCUAAUAAACUAAUCUAAUCAAAAUAAAUAUAAUUUAAAUCAAAUUCUACUUUAAAAUCCUAUCUAAAUACUAAUUUAUUCUUAUCUUCAUUCCCAUCAUUUCUCUCCAAGAACUCGACUCUAAUGAGAUAGUCUGCAACUUCACUCUCCAAGGAUGCCGAUCUUUUGUCCCCAUCAUUUUGCAUUAACACCAUUUUUUUGCAGAUUUCUUUGUGUUGAUUGUUGCUGCCUCUUUUUUUUUUCUUGUGUUUGAAAAUAGGUCUAUUGUGAGGAAUUUUUAUGUUGCAAAAAGGGAUGGAAACUGUUGGUUGGGGGGUGGGGGGAGGGGUGGAGAUCGGAUUUUUUUUUUUUUUUUAAAACUUGUUUGGCCAAAGAAAAUGGCUUGGCCUCUGCUACCAAAUUGAUAGCGAACACAAUCGAACAAGAACAAGAUUCAGAAAGAGAGAUGGAGAUGGAGAACGUAUAUUCAAUUAAUAAUCAAGUUUGCUUACAAAUGUAAUCCUGAGUCACAUUUAUAGGUGCAAUAAGUUAAGCUCAAAUUAACUUCUAAUAAACUAAAACCUUAAUAGGAUAUUAAACUAAUUUAAUUAAAAAAAACAUAAUUUAAAUCUAAUUCGACUUUAAAAUCCAAUCUGAUUCCUAUAUUUAUUCUUAUCUUCAUUUCCCAUUAAUUUAUCUGGGAAGUGAGGUUACAUUACAUUCAAAAAUAUAUAAGAGGCAAACGCUUUAGAUGCACAUGCAAAAUGUGAAUGUAUAUGCAAGUCAGUGCAUGCUCAAUUAAAAGAAUGUCCAUGACAAAUGGCCUACAUAAAGCACAGAGUCCAAAGGAAAAGAAUAAAGUGAAACCUCAUUGUUUUCAUGAAAAAAUAGUGCUAGAAGAAGAGACAGAUGAAUGCUGAGAGAAAGUGAAAUAAUUUUUAAAACAUGAAUAAUAAUAAUAGGAUUAAAUGCACCAAAGGCAUGAAAGAUAAAAUCAGCAAGAUAAGAUCAUGUAAAUGAAAGUGCCAAAAGAAGAGCGAAGGGAAAGUGAUAAUACGAAGAUAUGCAACGCAAUGAAUCUAUAUUAUUUUUCUGUUCAUAUAUUAAGCCUAUGUUUGGGCCCCAUUUUAUCAAAAAGCUCAUUUUUUCAAAACUUGUUUUCAACCACACGUUCUCCCAUAAAAUAAUAUUACACGUAAAUCGCACACUUUUCCUUAUUUUUUAACCACAUAUUCUCCAAAAAAAAAUAACUAUUCCAAAAUACAUUUUUCCCAAAAUUACAUUUUAAUGGAGCCCAAACAAGAGCUAAAUAAAAAGAAACAUCUUGUUGUCACUCACAUGUGCAUGAUGAAAAUAGUCAAAUUUUCUGUCACACAAUUUUAAGGCCCCAAACAAAGGCUAAAUAAAAAGAAAUAUCUUGUUGUCACUCACAUGUGCGUGAUGAAAAUAGUCAAAUUUUCUGUCACACAAUUUUAAGGCCCGUUUGGUGCCCAUUUUUUUUCAAAAUACAUUUUUCUCUCUAUUAUUUUCAACCACUGAUUUUUUAUUAAAAUAAUAUUACACGUAAAUCUAAAAAAUUUCCUUGUUUUUCAACCACACGUUUUCCAUCAAUUUACUAUUCUAAAAUGCAUUUUUACAUAAAAAUGGGUCUCAAACACCUUCUUAAAAGUCAAAGAACGGAAUAACAUGCAAGGACAAACAACUGCCUUACCCUUCGUAAUCUGAAGCAAUAUCAGGUAAUUUGUCUCUACUAAUUUGAGCAAGAUAACUCCUCAAAAAGAGCCCACGUAUGGGAUGCUGAACACCGCGACACAUUUCAACAAGAUCUUUAAGAACAUCCUUAGCAGGAGUCUCUUUCGAUUUUAUAUAAAUAGAACCAACUGUACACAGGAGAUACCUAAUAUAAUGACAAAACAAAAUAUUAUGUAUCUUAGAAGCCUCUAUAUUUUGGAAAUAACAUAUUCAAUUGUACAAUAACUAAAAAAUAGAUUCAAUUAUAUAGCCUAAAAUUACACACACAAAAUAGUAAGUGGAAGAAAAUCAAACAAAUUAAACACUAAAAAUUCAAAACAAAUUGCAUAAGGUGGGUCAUUAAAUUUUCAGGGCAUUUGUACUAUACUAGUAACAAGGAUCAGCAACUCUAAAAUCCAAUGGGCUCAAGAAAAAAAAUACCUAGAGAAUUUGGAUAAAAAUCCAAUUGAGGCUUGCCUCAAAGUGAGGAGAUCAACAAAGACCUCAAGGUGCUAAUCGUGAAACAGUGUUUGGAGACGCACGCCUCAGUUGAGUGAGGCACAUGCCUCAAGGCUUCUGAAGCGUACACUCCUCAAUUCUCUAGAGUUGUUUUGCUUUGGUGUGGCCCACCAAACAUUAAAAAUUAUAAUUGACUCACUUUGGGAAUAGCCCCUCUUAUCAACAUAUCUUGGUUCGGGUGCUCUUUCUUCCUGAGUGGAUUAGCUAUUUAUUAAAAUAUUUAAAAAAAUAUAUGUUUUCUGAAUAUCCCACAUUCGGAAUCAAAUAUUAUUAGAACAUUAGAAAAUUGUGUUUAUCGUGGACCCACUUUGGGAAUAGUCUGCUGCCUCACUAACUAAAGUAAUUGUUCCUUCUGCUUCAUAGUUUUUAAUUUUAUUUGUUUGCAUAUUUUAAAUUAUUCUAUUAUAAAUUUUUAAGAUUGUUAAUAAUUUGUUAUAGGCACAUUUUACAUAAUAAUUUUUUGACAUUUUUGUAUUAUGGAGAGGAUUAGGCCUCAAAACGCCUCAUUUCACAAAGGAAAAAUGCCUCAGCACUCAAUUACGCCCUUUUAAACAUUGAUCUGGAGUUUGAAAUUAAGAUUAGGCAAUUAACAAAGUCUGCUUAACCGUGUAAGCAGCUGUCGUAUGUAUGAUACAUCUCACGAAUAUAAAGAUUUUAAUAAAUGCAGUCAGUAUGGCAAACGCCUUCAUGGAUAUAACUAAGAUCUAUGAUUGCAUAGAGAGUGUGGUCACCACAAAACAGCGCUCCAGCAUAAUCAGAGAAAUGAAUCUUGUAAUAUAAGAUGACAUUAAAUUAUUAACUAUGCAAAGAAAAGGCGAAGCAAGCAACAAUAAAAACUGUAGCAACUUAAAUUUACUACCCAAAUUCAUGAGACUUACAGUCGAGGCAAAAUGUUUCCAGCAUGUUGAACAAGUUCAUAUAGAUCAACCACUGGACAACCGUGCCUGUUUUCAUCCUUGAAGAACAUUUCCAGCCUCCUCAAUUCAUCAAAAGCGCGCAUAUCUAAUCCAUAAAUGAUAAAAGCAAACAGUACAAAAAAUAAACACAGUUACUCUAAAUAAUAAGAUAUGACCACCGGGAGAUUUUGGAUCCAGGAAUCUUACAGAGCUCAUAAUAUUUGUGAGGCGAGAGCCUCGAAGUUCGAAGCUCAGACAACAACUGCGCUGAGUAUUUGAGGGCUUCUCUCAGAUUAUUCGAAUCCUGAAUUUUAUCAAAAACAUACAAAUUAAACUUACAAUUAAUUUGAGAAUCUAGGGCUCUGAGAAUUAAAAUUUAAAAUUACCAAAGCGCGAUGCAAAUAAAAUGCACUGUGUUGAAUUCCAGCGAUGCCUUCGGCGAGCCAUUUGUCCUCAUCUUCAAUUCCGUUUGCUAUCAACAUUUUUUCUUGUUCUCUCUCUCGAGUGACAUCGACUGAACUGACUUCCUCUUUAACCUGGAAUAAUGAGGAAAUAGGAAUAGAAUUUAAAAAAUAAGAAAUACAUUAUUCCGAUCAUUUCAACCCUCAUAUUCUUCAAUAAAAUAAUAUUAAACAUAUAUUCAAAAAAUUUAUUUAUUUUUUAACCACGUAUUUCUUAUCAAUGGGGCCUAUUUGAAAACGAUUUUUUCCUUCAAAAAAUUGAUUUUUUUGACCGUUAUUUCAUUAUUCCAUUAUUCCAGCCGUCAAAUUUGAUUUCUUCUCUCACGAUGGACCCCACUUUUCUCCUAACGAUCAAAAAAUCAGUUCUCAAAAUCACUGUCAAAUAGGCUCAUGCAUUAUUUUAAAAUGUAAUCUUAUAGAAAUAAUGUGGCUCAAAUAAGGGCGUAAUGUCUUGUUUCUUGUUUCGAAUCCAGGGUCAAACUGUUUUUUCUUUUUAAUUUCUGUUUUUUACCAAAAAAAAAAAUGAUCAUUUCAACCCUCAUAUUCUUCAAUAAAAUAAUAUUAAACAUAUAUUCAAAAAAUUUAUUUAUUUUUUAACCACGUAUUUCUUAUCAAUGGGGCCUAUUUGGAAACGAUUUUUUCCUUCAAAAAAUUGAUUUUUUUGACCGUUAUUUCAUUAUUCCAUUAUUCCAGCCGUCAAAUUUGAUUUCUUCUCUCACGGUGGGCCCCACUUUUCUCCUAACGAUCAAAAAAUCAGUUCUCAAAAUCACUGUCAAAUAGGCUCAUGCAUUAUUUUAAAAUGUAAUCUUAUAGAAAUAAUGUGGCUCAAAUAGGGGCGUAAUGUCUUGUUUCUUGUUUCGAAUCCAGGGUCAAACUGUUUUUUCUUUUUAAUUUCUGUUUUUUACCAAAAAAAAAACACGAAAAAGUUAGCUUUCUUUAUAAACUUUUAAACACUUUUUAUAAAAUUAUUUAAACAUAUUAAAGAAGAUUUUAGUCUCAAAACUUUUUUGAUUUUCUAAAUAUCAUAUCAAAUCAACCAUACAUGCACCUUUCGACACAUAUGGUUCAAAAAAUAAUUACGAAAAACAAAAAAAUCAAUGUAUAAAUUCAAUUAGAAAUGCUAGUCGCUUGUUCCGCUGCUCAGCUACCUUCACAAAUAGGUAAAGUGACUUUUUAUCCAUUUAGGAAUUAGAACACUAGGGCCUAGUAAUAAUGAGAAUGAAUUUUUUGACCAUUAAAGGAAAAGUGGGUUCCACCUGUAAGAGAAGAAGUAAAAAAUAACGACUUAAAUAAUGAAAUAACGUUCAAAAAUUAAUUUUUUGAUAAAAAAUUACUACCAAACAAUGACAAAAUGAUAACACGUGGAAUUCAAAUAUAUAAUAAGGAAACUUAGUGACUGUUGCUGUCCUAUUUACAUGUUAAAUAUAAAGAAUUAGUUACGGUGCGCUUGAUUGUCGAUAUUUUAUAUGAAAAAUAUUUUUAUAUCAAAAUUCCUACUUUUCUUCUGUCUGAUUAAUUUUUUUCAUGAAAAAUAUUUUCUUACUUUUUAUUUUCUUACUUUUGGUAACGCGACCAUAUUCUCCUACAAAGAAAAUAUUUUUUUAAGGAGAGUGAUUUUAUUUUUCAAUCAAUUUACUUUCUUUAUCAUCUACACCUCUCUCUCA
rnacentral:lncRNA from 1 species